rnacentral:lncRNA from 1 species
UUGUGUUGAACUUAGGGUGAAGAAGCAUAGAAAAAGUUAUAACAACAGGUUUUUCAAAGAGCUCUUCAGCUUGUGUUCGAUGCGAACUCAUGACUUUGCGCUUGGAGCAGGCGAUAUCUGGUUCCAACUAGCGAGUUAAUUUGUGUGGUUGCGUGUUCUCAAUUACUAAAUAUGAAAGCGCGAACUAACAACCGAUGAGAGAAAACUGAGAAGGCUACGAAAUGGCGGCAAUUUUUUUUUUAUUAGCUUUACCCCUUGCCCUGUGCUUGUUUGGUUCUUAUCUUACUUUCGAUUUUAAAAACAAGAAGCAUUACACAGUGUUUGGCAAAUUGGACAGCUUGAAACUUUUCAAGUGGAAUUAAAAUUCUGACUCUGAAACUUACAAGUUUUAAUUCAAUGUUUUGAUUUUACUGUGGAAAAAAUCUAGGUUAAUAUAAUAUUUGGUCUUACAAUAUAAUUCCGAUAGCACUAUAUCAAAUAAUAUUACAUAUAUAUAUUCUAGUGCCAAACAUUCCAUUGACAAUAGUCGACAACAACCUGACCCACAAACAAGCAGCGCAAAUUCGAAGGCAGGUAGGGUCUCCCCGCUCCUGCUUAUUUUGGCGGAUCAUGGACGAUUUUUAUAACAAGUUGAUUUUUAUUCUAUUUUGUUCUACUUAUCCUUUUAUUUGGAGGGUAGGGUCCGAAGUGGAGGAUGAAUCAAAGGAAAGUCAGGAUAUUCGGCUUUCUAUUCCAUUUCUUUAGUAGAUCUAAGACGGGUUCAAAAUAAAUUAUUAUUAUUAUUAUUAUUUAUUUUAGCCUCUAAUUAUGUCUCAUUCGGAGCGGACCAGGCGUAAAAGUCCAUCAAUCUGGAUCCAUCUGCGUCCCUACCUACAAAUGGCCCAUCUCCAAACAGCUACGCAUGGGAUAACCCUCCCUCUUCCGACUCCCCGGCACCUACAACAUGCCUCCCAUAACGCAUUGAAUCACAAAUGGAGACAAAAAAUAAAAAAAUAAAAAAAAAAGCCACCCUUUUCCACAACAGCUCAGAUGCAUUGUUUGGAUAUUGCGACAAAAACAGAAUUCUGGUCAAUCCCUAUAAACCCUCUAGAAAGAAUUAACCCAUGCUGAAUUAUUAACAAGAAGUUGGCCCACCCCAUUUUUUUUUUUUUUUUAAUAAUACACGUGUUGGAAGUUUGAAUCUUUUUCAUUUCAUUUGAUAGAAAUCCUUCAACCGCAGAGGACAAAAAAAAUUUGUGAGUUUGACGAACUCGACUUCAACCCCCAACCAACUGAAGUCGAGAAGUCGAUCUCCAUACAAUUGUGAGCGGGAGUUUGGAUGAUUUCGCGUCUUCGGUAUUGACACAAAUACUGACGCGCACGACUUUCUCGAAAAUUACGAAUUCAACCUCUGGAAUUCAAAAUCAAACAAACAGACGCUUAGGGGAGAGUUUGGGCUAUGUCUGUUUCAGGCCCAGUCGGCGAAGCCCUGGGCCGAGACAGCCCGGCCCGGUUCAUAAACAGCUUUUUAACACUUUCCCCACUCCACUCCGAUCAAAAACCCAAGAAAAAAAACAAAAAAAAAAAAAAACCCCUCACAAUUCAUCUUCUUCACCUGUUUACGGCGGCACCUUCCCGCGAUGGUCUCCGCCACCGCCGCCGACGACUCGGCGGCAGAAUCGCUGGCGAUAAGGAAGCUCGGCCGUCUCUUUAAGCUCACCGAAGUCCACCUAUGGCGAGCUACCUCUUUUUUUUAUUUAUUUAUUUUACUGAUUUUUUUUUUUUUUUUGUGUCGCCAAUUUUUAGUUCUAAAGUGUUUUGGGAAUUAUGGAGCAGGGAUAGUUCUUAUUCCAACAGUUAUUCCGAGACUUAUUCUCGGGAUUACUCUCCGGAAGACGAGCCUACUGUAAGUUCAGUGUAGCUGUAGUAGUUUUCUCUUUUUUUAUUUUUUUUAUUUUUGGGGUUUUAGGGUUUUGAUGCUGUACUUUUUGGACGAAUUUUGCAAACGAACUUUUUUUUUUUUUUAAUUUUUGUGUGUGUAUGUGUGUAUUUUUCACAUUAAGCUUUGAAAAUUUUGUUUUUUAGUUGUUAAUUUGAUCAACCCUAAAACAGAGCUCUUGCACCGCUACUGAUGUCAACUCAGGAAUCACACAGGAAGUGGAUGGUAAGCUUCCUUUUUCCCUUCGAAAUCAUGUUCUUUUCAAAAUUUCAAAUAAGAUUAUUGAAUCACUCUACCACAUUCUCCUAUGAUGCUUCAGCAUUGAACAUUGGUGUCAUCUCUAUCAUUUUUACAGGUUAUGCUCAUGCCGAAGAUUUGGAAUUAGCUUGUCAGAUGGAUGCUUUGGGUCUGCCCGUUUCAUUCAGCACGAGUAAGGAGGUUAGUGCUUUUCGAAUUUGCCUUCUUAUGCCUUUUUUUUUUUUUCUCUCUCCUUAUUUGUAAGCUAAUAUUUACUCGUAGAAUUCAUACUUAUAAGUGGUAGUUUUGUCCAUUGCAGAAGAAGAAUGUAGCUUUCGGCGGAAAGAAAAAGGGAAAGGGAGUGAAAUCCAGGUCUUCUAGUGAUCUAAAAGAUAAUACCGUCCCUGCAGUUUGGAAAGACGGUGAAUCGGAAAGUGUUUCUCCAUCGAGAGUUUGGCAUGAUUUCACAAGUUCGCCUACUCGUUGCGAUGCUUCAGGAGAGUCUGCUCGAGCUUCUCCUUGCAAAACUGAAGAGAUUGAUGGAGGUUAUGCUGCUUUUGCCAACAGCCAAUUUUGUGACAAAGUGAGCGAUGAAAUAGGCCUUGAUCAUGUUGAUCGAGAGACCAAGUUUUGUGGUAUUGCUUCACAGUCGGACGCUCGAUCCUCUGGGCAGCGUUCUCAUGGAAAUGGAUUUAGUAAUGGCAGCGGUGAACUUUGUGAGGAGGGAAGGUCAUACGAGAAGAACGAGGAGGAAAAGCACUUGGACUCUUCAUUGAUAUCACAUGAUACUAGUGAAAAUUGUGGGUCAAAUGACACUGAAACACUGAAGCCCUGUUCAAUAUCAGUGGAGUCGCCUUUGAGUGAGAACCACGCUCAAAAUGCUGAAAAUAGUGCACAUUUUGAAUUUGGUGACUGGAGAGUGAUUUGGGAUGCUUUUUAUGAGAGAAAUUAUUUCUACAACGUCGAAACACGGGAGUCUACGUGGUAUCCUCCUUCAGGCUUGGAAGACUUUGCUCUUUCCACCAGCACUUGUGCAGCUACUGAAGAGGAUGCACAGGGAUUACAAGAUUUGAGUUGCUCAUUCCAUGAAAAGAAUGUGCAUGAUUUGGAUAAAGAGGAGAAUAAUGUUUACUGUGAAGAAGCUUGCAAUAUACCUGAUUCUUCACUUGAAGAUCCGAAAAACACUAUACAUGAAGUACAAUAUGAAGAAAAUGUGCAAAGUGACUCCUCUACGAUUAAUGGGCUAGACUAUCAUUAUUCAAUUGCUACAACAAAAAAGAAAAAGAGAGUAAGAAGACUCCAAUCACGUAAGCCGAUAUGUAUAGCAGUAGAUAAUCUAUUGAAGAUUUCUCAUCCCUUCAUUUUACUUUUUCUUCACAUCUGCUCGUUGUUUCACCCCGAGUUGAAGAGGGCUGGAUAUAUAGAAGGAACUCAUUUGUAACCUUUCAAACAGGAUGAAGCCCAAUUAUUACCCUAGUUCCUAUUAUACACCGAGUUUUAAAUACAACAAUACUUUAUAUACCUAGGUGAAGAAAUUCUGUGAGCCAAAUGUCUCUCACAAUUCCGUGCGGACUACAUUAACCGUUUUAACUAAGUUUUGCCGUUUUAGCAUUUUUAGCCUGCAUCCUUCCAAACUUCUUUGCAGAUUAUACACCGGUAGCAUCUAAGCUAGUUCUAUCAUGAUUUUUUACUAUAGCUUGAAAUAAGUUUUUUUAAGUUAUUUUUCCUUUCCGCAGAACAUACAUUUCAAGGAGUCAUCGAAGGCCUCUCUACCACUGAUAUCAGCAAGUACUGGAUUCAGAGGUACUCACUUUUUUCUCGUUUUGAUUAUGGUAUAAAGAUGGAUGAAGAAGGCUGGUUUUCCGUCACACCAGAGCCCAUUGCAAGACAUCACGCGUCUCGAUGCGGUAGUGGCACUAUUAUUGAUUGUUUCACGGGAGCCGGAGGAAACGCCAUCCAGUUUGCUAUGAAGUCCGUAACAUUGCUCUUUUUCAUAAGUAAUCCCUUGGCUAUAUAUCUCAUUUGCAAAGGAAUGCUUAAAUCCUUUUUUCCUUUUUUUUUAAAGAAUGUUAGUUGUAUUUCAGGAGCAAUCAUGUUAUCGCUAUUGAUGUCGAUCCAACGAAAAUAGAGUGUGCACAGCAUAAUGCGGCUAUCUAUGGAGUUAAUGACCAAAUAGAUUUUAUAAUAGGUGACUUCUUUCAAAUUGCUCGACGCUUGAAGGUACCAUUACUGUUUCUUUGCCAAGUAUAUUUUGUGGAAUAUGUUCUCCUGAUAUGUGACAUUAAGGUCUUUGCUGCUGAUGGUUUAUCAUCGUAUACGCUUGCAGGGAGACACUGUUUUCAUGUCACCUCCUUGGGGAGGUCCUGACUAUGUUAAAGUGGAAACUUAUGAUAUCAGAACCAUGCUUAAGCCUUGUGAUGGGUUAGGCCUUUGUUUUUAUAGUUCUUUUUAUGAGAUGGUAAUGUUUUAAGAUGAGAAUUAACAUCCGUCUUUUCUUUGAUUUAGAUAUUUUCUUUUCAAAAUUGCAAUGACGAUUGCCUCGAGAAUAGUGAUGUUUCUUCCUCGGAAUGUCGAUCUAAACCAAUUGGCGGAGCUGUCUUUAUCUGUUGAUCCUCCCUGCGAGCUUGAGGUAUAAGUCCAGCUCGAGUUGUCUCCUUGCUUAUAUUUAUUCCUCUGUGUUUCCUCUUUUAUCUGGGUAUCACUUUAAAUAAUCAAAUUUUUGCAGCUUGUAUGCCUUUCCCGUUCUCCGUUAUAAUAAAUUUCUGUCCCCUCUGGUUUGAUAAUGGGGAUCUGUUUUCUGAUUAUUCUUUAAAUUACAACCUAAUUAUAGACGGUGAAAUGAUUGCGGGUGAUUUGAUGUACUAAUUACUGGAACACCUUAAAAUUUUGCUUCUCUGUCAAUCUGUUAGUAUGGAAAUGUUCGGUAAAGAUUAAUAACUUAGUAGUUUCAUGAUAUGCAAGCUCUGUAACGUUUUGAUGUGAUCUAAAAAAGAUAGUUGACUGAGUUGCAUAGAAGCAUCUCUAUUUCUCAUUUCUUCUGCCAUAUUACUGUCAUUAAGCUUCUCAGUCGCCGAACAUGGUUUAGAAAUGCAUUCCUAGAAUAUAGCUGCAUAUAUAUAUUUUUUUCAUAAUCAGAAUAUAAAUAUUAAAAGCUUUUGCUUAAGUAGAAAUGUUUAUUCUGCUGUGUAAUUUGAAAAUAAUCUGCCGUUUCACUUUCAAAAUUUCUCGUCUAUGGUUUAACCGUCACAAAUUUUGCGUUGACCGUGUUGAACAUUUUGCUUGCAGGUUGAGAAGAGCUUUCUGAAUGGAAAGUUUAAAGCAAUUACGGCCUAUUUCAAAGUACGAUGAUGCAGGGAUCAUGCGGAGAUCACUACCUGACUCUUGCAUCGGAGGGGACGAUGAAUCCUGUUUCUUUAUGGCAAAGGAGCUUGUUCAUAUUAGUGAUGAACCUGGUUGGGAGUGUGUACAUCUAGCAUAUGUAUCAAUGGCAUUGACCUAUUUAUUUGGUUCUAUUUGUUACAAAUAUGUUGAUUUUUUGUAUUAAAGUAUGUGCAAAAAUGUGUAAGAAACUCUAGCCUCUUUCUAUGUAUGGAGUGUGACAAUUAGCUUUGAGAGUCAUGAGUUUUCUAUGCAGAUGCUGUUUAAAUAGAAUUGUUCUAAGAAGCAUCUAGUCUAGUUAAGUGGGCCUUAAUGGUUUAGCUGCGGAACUGGAUGUUUCAAAUGAAUUUGAAACUUUAUUACUUUUUGAGGUUCAGAAGCUUGUUUUCUUCGUUUUGCCCCUGUAAGAACUCUAAAAUUUUUGUAACCAUACUCUACUGAGCUUUUUCGCAAUUUACCAUCUAAUACAUGAUUGAGAUUUGAAAAAAAAAAAACUUCUAAAUUAAUAUAAAUGAUUACGAUUACGGCUCAUCAAGCUACAACAUCUUGUUGAGAAACUUUUCAACGAAAUCACGUUGGUGUGGAUAAUUUGAUGUGUAGUAAUGCUUUUAAAUAAUGUAUUUAUUUUCAAAUUCUGUGAACAUCAAAUUGGAGGAAUUUUUUUAUUUUGAGGGAUCUUAAAAUUUCAUUUUUUUUAAAAAAAAUUUCUAUAACACAAAUAAUAAAUUAUUUUUUUAUUACACGUUUUUACUGCGAAUGGCUAUUUGUUCCUAGACGACUGAGCCUUGCAAAAGAGUCAAAUCCAUCACCACAGUUUCGAAAACUACGAUCCGAUCCCCUCUUCUUCUUCUUCUUCUUCUUCUCCGGGCAAUCUCCCUCAAAAUCGAAGGGGAAAAAAACCCUAAAACACGGAUUUGAGAGAGGUGGGAGAAUCGGAGCGAUGCAGAGCUUGUGGCGCCUCACGCUGUUCCUCUGUUGCUUGUGGGCCGCCACUCUCCUCUACGGCGAGAUGGUCGCCUACUGGGUCCCGCUCUCCACCUGCAAAUGGCCCCGCCUCACCCCCUCCUCCUCCUCCUCCCCCUCUUCCUCGGUAAUGAUUCGUAGCAUUUGAGUCGAUUGAUUUUGUGUUCGUUUCGUUUUUGGAUUUCGAAUUGGAUCGGCAUCAAGCGAUUCUAGAAUGGGAAGAACAGGGUUAGCAUUUGAAUCCAUUACUUUUUUGUUUCGUUUUAUGAUAAGAUCUCGAGAUUGAGCUCCUACAGUCCCUAAUUUUAAUUAGAUUGCAAAUGUUCGCACACUAAUCUGAGGAAUUAGUAUAAAGUGAUCCUAGAUUUGGAAAAAUUAGCGAUUGGUGAAGUAGGAAUGAUCUUUAGGGCACAGCAAGGUUUCCAAUUUCGGCUGAAAAUUUAAGGAUUUUCUUUUCAUUUUUACAUAAAUUGUCGCAUUUGCUGAGCAUGUAAUGAUUUAUGAUAUAACGUUUUAGAUUGUACCACCCAUGGUGAAGUUGAUUUGAGCUGAAAUUUUAGCGCUGUUUAAUAUUUGCUAGCGUGUCGUUGUAUUAUACACUUGAUCUUUAUAGCUGAUGGUGUAGGAUUCAGUGAGUCAAAUUUUGCGAUAAGAACACUACCGAAUUAUUUAUUUAUUUAUUUAUUUUUUCUGAAUGCUACUCCACUUAUUAUAUGUAUAAAAUGCUAAUACAUGUCAUUCUUGUUUGUUAGUUAUUGUUAUUGUUCCAGUGUGUAAUAGUUUUACAAUGCCCUCUUGGCAAUGUUUGAAAUUUGUUUACGAACUUGGUUUAAUUUCCUUGUAUUUACUUUCUUUGACAGGUGAAGGUUGCUGUUGUGGCUGAUCCACAGGUUAACUUAAUUCCACUGCAACAUUAAAUAGAUAUCUCAUCUAAUUUUUUAUGCUUAAUGUCAUUUAGUUCUCCAAAGCACUGCUUUAUUCUACUCUUUCCUUGCUACUCUGAAAGAAGUUUUCAUUGCAGCUUAUGGACAGCACCUCACUUGGACUUGCUCCUGAUUCGUUUGCCCUAGAAGUUGCCCAGUUUUAUACAGAUUUGUACAUGCGAAGAGCUUUUCAUACAUCUAUACUGCCUUUUAAACCUGACGUGGUUUUAUUUCUGGGUGAUUACUUCGAUGGGGGUCCGUAUAUGUCGGAUGACGAGUAAGGCACGGUUCUUAGAUUCUUUUUCUUAUGUUCUCUAAAAUUGCUUUUACCAUAGAAUACCUAGUAUUAUUUUAUCUUUAUGCUCAAUUUUUUUUUUGGAUUUUGGCUUUCAAGCAAACUUUGGACUGGCUUAACAAGAAUCAAUUAAUCAACAUACUUACUACUUGGGCAAUCUAUAUAGCUAUAUCUUUAGAUUUUCUCUUUGACGAUCCUCACAGGUGGCAGGAAUCGUUAAGUCGUUUUAAGCAUAUAUUUGGUGUGAAUGAGAAAAGAAGAGAUUCUGACACUCCAUACUACUACCUGUGUGGAAAUCAUGACAUUGGCUAUGCGGCUUUUCACUCCCAACAUCCCGAGGUAGUUUCUUAUUGUAAAAUUUAUCAUUUUUGUCAUAGUUUUUGCUGGUUUUGUUCCUACACUAGUUUGUGCAAGAGAAGUAAAUAUACGACCAAGUAUACUAAUUUGCCAUUGAAUUACUUUCUGCCGAAGAAUCAAUUUAAGAAACACUGCUGGCACAAAACUAAGGGCCUGAAAAAGGUAGAAAAGGUUAAAAUUAAAAAGUUAAAAUUUUGCCCCAGAAGAAAACAAUCAAUGUGAAUGUGCAUGAUGAACAAUAACCAAGCUAGAGCCAGAUAAUCUUAAAGCUCUUUUCCUUCUUAAAAAAAUCCUAGAUGUCGGUAAUAGAGCCUCGUAGUUGGUCAUAUUAUAGUAAGCUUGGUUAUUUCUUGGGAAACCUUAGUUGUGAGAACUGCGUAGGAUUGUUGAUUAAUGCUGAAAAGCAAAAAAAAAAAAAUGUAUACGUGGAUAAAAUGGCAUUGCACGGGUGGUCAGAACUGUACCAUUUCUGUGCACUGCAUGACAUUGGUUUGCAUCGUUUCUGUCUAUUCCUACAUCAUUUCCUACACUAAAUCAUGUCGUGCAAUUCUUGUUAUCUUUUACUCUUCUCUAUGGACUUUAAAGGCUGAUUUUGGCUAAUUUGGAUUUGUGUCUCAUGGUUUUGUUUGUGCCACUGAGUUGCUCCUGUGCUAUUGUUUGCAUGUCUCUACAGGCCUUGCUGUCAACUCCUGUUAGAAUUUGUUUUUCAAUUGGGUUUUGAUUCAAACAAAAGGGUUUCGGUCGAGUUUUGAUCGAACCCUGACCUUAAUCCCAAAUUCAUCCCAUUUCUCUUCCAGUCUUCCUUUCCUUUUCUUCCUGCUCCAUCUAUAACCAAGCCCUUGCUACGGCAUCAUUGCUGCCUUUAGACCCUUCUCCUGCCUUAUGUGGUCACCACUUACCAGACCAGCCGCCCAUCUCCCAGCAGCACCACUCACUAGACCAUCCACCCAUCACCCGCUGCUGCUGGGAGGAGGGGAGGUUUUAAUGCUUGCAUAUGCAAAAUAGAGUUGAAGGAAUGUCCUAGCAGAAAAUAGAAGCAGUGAUCUCAGGGAACCUGGAUGAAACAAAUGAAACCAUGGGACACCCCAUGUGAAAAUGCCUUUGAAUUUAUCCUUUAUAUUUUGUCAAUUGAUUUAAGAAUUUUAUUGUGAUAGGUGAUCAGUCGGUAUGAGAAUGAGUUUGGAUCAAGAAAUUAUCACUUUUCUAUUGGAAAGGUGAAUUUCAUUGUUGUUGACGGUCAAACUCUUGAUGGUAUGUAGCAACUACUUGAAAUUUGAGUUUGAUGUUUCUUUACUAAUUGAGAAAUAUAGAGUUGACCCAUCAGCCAGAUGAAAUGCAUUAAUCUUCACAUGUUAUUGGAUACUGGUUGAUGAUCUUGACUUAUAUUCUAAUAGAUAUAGAAUGUCUUUGUCAAGUACUAUACUGACAAAAUUCUGAGAAUUUUGUAUAAAGUAUGUUCUCAGCUAGGUUAUUUUAUUUUAUUUUUGUUGCACAGUACCUAUUGAAUUGAGUGCUAUUUAUCAUGUUAGUAUAUUUGUAUGAAGACCCUUUGAUUGAUGAUGGUCAUCAAGCAAUAUACAGCUGUAGGGGGACGAUAGAGUUUUUGUAGAUGAAUCUAAUUAAUUGGAAAUCCAUAUAUUAGUGUCAUUAGGCUGUUAUCUGUAUCUCUAGCAUUUUUUUUUUGUGGGUGGACCUACUAACCUGGCUUUCUUGUGUGCAUGUAUACAAUUUCCAUUGUAUAUUUGCUUGCUAACUGAUUCAAUUGUAUACAUGAUGGGUGAUGGACAUCUAUUAAGCAGGGCCCAAACAAGGAAAUCAAACAUCAUUAUCCUGGAACUUCAUAAAAAAUAUAUCAAAUGGUAUGUGAUCUGGUUUAUCUGAAUACCGCUGCUUACUGUGAUUUUUUAUUUAAGAUCAAAUUGGUUGACUAACACUUCUCUAUCUUUUAGAUAUUAAAUCAAAUCCAACAGUCCUACUGACACACAUUCCUCUUUAUCGUCCUGAUAACACACAUUGUGGCCCGUAUCGUUCAUCCCCUGUUAUAAAUCAGGUACUUUUUCUUCAUAAUUUGGGAACAAUGAGUUACCAAGAAGUAGAGGUGUAAUACAAAAUUGCUGCUUUCAAUCAGAAAGAUUGUUGUGUUGUGUCAUUAUUUCUACCUGUCAGCCUUACAUUAUGUAAUAUGUGGUUGGAUCGUAACUUUUAAGUCAAACAAAUGCCGUUUACAUGGAGAAACUGAUUCAAUUCUUUUCUUUUUCAGAGAAUUUCUUAUGCUGCAUUUGAUCAAGGAAUUACGUAAGUCCCUAUUUCUUAACUGAUUUUAUUGCUUUAAUGAAUAAGUUCAAUAGAGCGGUAAGGGUUACUUUCUUGGAAUGAUAAAGCACAAGAGAGACUGCAAUUAUGAAUAUCUUCCCCUAAGCCUUUUGUUCGAGCUUGUUUGUUGCACUCAACUGAUUCAGACAUUUAUAGGUCAACGCUUACAGAGAAUUCAUACUUAAGUGACUGAUGAAACUUUACUAUGUUGAUGUAGGUAUCAAAACUAUCUUGACAAGGAAACUUCAAACCUUUUACUAAGCUCUAUCAAGCCAGUAAACUUCUCACUUUGUAGCAAUUUUCCAAGAUACUUAGAAUCAUAGGAGUACCACCUUUUUACUUCAAUUAGGUUAUUGCAGAUACUGGUGCUCUCUGGCCAUGAUCAUGAUCAAUGUACAGUUUUCCACUCAACUCCUUUCGGAUCAGUACUAGAGGUGAGAAAAUUCUAGAAUAGUCUUAGUAUUGGUUUAUAAUAUUAAUCUGCAUCUAAAAUUUUCCUUCAUGCAGCAUACCCUUGGGACUAUAAGCUGGCAGCAAGGAAAUCUCUAUCCAUCAUUCAUGCUGAUGUCUGUAGCAUCGCGACUAUUGCCGAAUGCGACUGAGCCAGAAAACAGUGUCUCUACCCUUCUUUGUUUUCUUCCGAAGCAAACCCACAUCUAUAUCUGGUACUACAACUAGUUCGAGACUCUUAAAUAUUUAUUUUGAAAAUCAUCUAUUCACGUAUAUACCCUGUAAAAGUUGAAUAUUCAUAUAUAUAUGCACAUUGAAAGUGUAGUUUUUCACGGUACAGAAAUAACCUUAUCUUAAGCUGAGGCACCAUCUUAUUCAUAUUAAGUUGGUUUUCUAUUAAUGAAAAAAAAUUAAAGAGGGGAAUCUUUUCUACAUUGAGGGGUAUGUAUGAAAGAAAUUAAGUUUGGUAGGGCAUAUAUUGCUGAAUUAUGACUUGUUUGUUGUUGUGAAAAUUGACAACACACUACCCUUUUGUAUUUUUCAGGUAUAUUUGUCAGUUUGUAUUAACUCUUCUUCUGCUUAUAAUUUGGCCAACGACUGGUUUUGGUUCUUGGAGUUAUCUCGAUAGAUUUUUGGAUGUCAUCAAAGCAAUCGGCAACAACUUUGGCAACACUGCCAAAGAGAAGGAUGACGAGGAAAACUGUGACUACGAAAUGAUAUGGGACGCGGAAGGAUCAAUGCACCUUGUUAAGAAAGCCACAUCGAAGGCCCCAAACAUUAAUUCGGAGGCGAUAAAAACAGGGAGGUAAUGAGAACAUACUUGCCAAACUUUGCAGACAUAGGUUUUGAAUUGCCGCAAUCAGUGGCCAGAAAUUAAUCACCUGCGGUCAAACCCCCCCUCCUUGUCCAUUGCUUUUUGUGUUGGAUUUGGGGUUUUUUGCAAAAAUAAUCCACUAUUCCACUAUCCUAUGGCUUUGCGACUUCGUCGACAUUUCGUGAAUACGCAAUUUUGGUCCAAAAGUUUGCAAAUAAGGAAAAGAGGAAUCAGGAUCACAAAAUCAAAAUCAAGUUCCUUUUCUUUUCCAUUCGUGCAAAAUAGCCUCAUUUGAGUGGUGUGAUGGUUGUGAUCCCAUUUAGCACCGAACUGAUUAAAUAUUUAUUGUGACAGGGGAAACGUUGUUGCGAGACCAACAGCAAGGAAGCACAUGAUGGAGCCAGGGCCAUCAGAUUACAUCGAAAUUAAUACGGAAGCAAGGUCAGAUGAUGCAGGAAAAGUGCCGCGGUUCACCAAGUCAAAGGCAACGAGGCUGGUUCAGCGGCUGAUUCGGGUGAUUCGGUUGCUUGUAGUUAUCGCUGCCGUGAAUGUUCCUCUCUAUAUGAUGCUUCUCUUCAAGGAUUGGAUCGAACGGUGACUAACAAAUAUGACGCCACCGAUGUUUUCUCCGGAGGAUACAGUAGGAACGCAUAUGGAAUAUUACCCUAGAAAUUCUUGUAUUUGUGUAGAUUCAUGGAGCUAACGGUUUGAACUUCAAAAAUUGUGGAUGAAGCAAAAGAAGCAACAAGAUUGUGCGUUGGGGUUUCUGUGCAGCUUGAUGCCGUUAUAGACGAAUAGGCGAAUCAUGCACGUAGAAGGCAUUGGUUUUUUUGUGGUGCUGGAUAAAAUAAUCUUUGUAGGAUUGGUAAAUUGAUUUGUCUGUUGAGGCGCAAAAUAAGAUUUUGGAUUGGUCUAAGCAUGUGAAUCUUUAAUAAGCGGUCAUUUUUGUACUUGAAAGGGAAAAAAGAAGAAGCAAGUGAAAAGGCCUAUGCACUGGUGAAAAGCGGGACUCGAAGGUAGAAAUGAAGAUUUAAAGCUCGGUACUUUCAACAAAUAUGUAAAACUGAUUCAUAAAUAAUAGUGUUUGCCUAGGGUUGGUGGAGUGGUAGUUAAUUGAAUUGUAUGAUUUAAUCGAUGAAAAUGGUUAAAAAGAUAAAUCUAAUGACGAGAAAUUUGAUAGCACCCAGCGUUUGUUGCUAUUGAUAGCAUAGUAGUCGAACUCUCUCUCUCUCUCUCUCUCUCUCUAUGUAUAUAGAGUUUCUUUACUAUACUAUCAAUACUAUUUGAGUUAUUUUAGCUGUGAGAUUUAUUCCUUCGUUUAUUUUUAUUACUGGAUUAAUAUUAUUUAACCAAUUAUCAUUAAAUCUUACCUGAAUAGUAAAAAAAAAUUCAAAUAUUAUUAAUAAUAUAGAAGCUCAAUUGUAUAUAUAUAGAGAGAGAGAGAGAGAGAGAGAGAGAAUUACGUUGGAAUGUUUCUAAUUGGUGCUAUUAGAUUUUCGGCACUUGGAUGAAGGGAUAUAUAGUUAGAGUGAUAGUGGUUUCUCUAGAAUUGAGUGGGUGAUUGAUUGUAUAGUAUAACCUAACAGAUGAAAAUAAUCAAAGAGAUAAAUCUAACGAUAAAAAAUUUGAUAACAUAAGUACUUAAUGCUAUUAGAAACACUCCAGCCAGAUUAUAUACAGAUAUAUAUUGUAUGUAUAAAUAAAUAGUUGAGAAAAAGAGAAUGGAUUGUUUAAUUAACCCUUAAAAUUAUUAUUACCAUUAAGAUUCGACAUUCUUAAAAUAAUAAAAAGAAAUUGUACAGCUUUGUAAACUGUUCUGCCAAAUGAAAUAAAGACAAAGUUAUUCUCCAACAGCAGUAUACUGCUUCCGGGGACAUCUUGUCAUAUCCUCUAGUCUUGAAGUCAAAUCAGCAAACUCCAAAGAAAGCAGCCUCCAUUUGUCGAGAAACAAAAUCACACGAAAGCUCAAUAUACAAAAUCAGUGGCUUGAUUGUCCAGCUGCGAGUUCCGCCAUCCGGUUGCGCAUUUUGUAUUGCAGCAUGGCCGGAGCGCAGUCGAGAGGCGUUUCACCUGAAUAAAGAAAGGUGUAUAAGAUUUGUAACCCCUGACCCUUGUAGAAAUGUUGCGAUUCAUCUAUAUCCGUUGACAAAUUUAAGAGAUUGGAAACAGCUUUGGACGAGUGAUGUAUGAUAACCUUCUUAUUCUUAUUUUGGGAGGUGCAUGCACUGGAAUUGUUAUUUUCUCUUUUCAGAAUGACAGAAAUAUAACAUUAGAAGAGAGUGCACAAGAGCAAAGGCAAUCAGUCCAAAAAACAUAGAAUCAAUGCUGAUCAUGCAGUCCAUUUCAUGAAAUUGCUCUUUGAGUAAUGGCGCAGGUAUAUUUAAAUAAUGGAAAAGCAGUAACCUUGCCCAUUCUUGCAUUCCACGUUCGCUCCAUUAUCCAUGAGAAUAAGAGCAAUCUCGGUCUGAUUAAAUAGUGCAGCCUGCAAUCAUUGAUAGAGGAAUCUCUGUUAUAACAGAAAAACCAUGAUAGAUACAUUGUAACAAGCUUAUGGAAUAUCAAUCGACGUCUGUAAGCUGUUCAAUGUAUCCUCGUUCCAACAAUUGUGGCACACCUGCCUUCUAGAAAUUCAAACAAGACGACAAAUCAAGUUAUGACAUACCAAAUGCAGCAAAGUGAAACCUUGCUUGUCACAGUAGUUUGCGUCCACUCCCUGUCCAAUGACGAUAGAAAGAUUUUGAUUAAUGAUAUAGUUAGUGCAACGGGAAGAAGGAAACAAAGAUACCUGACUCAGUAGUUUUCUGACAGCUGGAACAUCACUGUUCUUAAUUGCUUCCCUUAAACCCUGAAAAUAUAAUGACGAGUGCUGAAUGAAAUCCAGUGCUAGAAUAUGGUUAAACCAUGAAACAGAAACAUGUGCCUAUUAGCUAGUUUCUGACCUCUCCAGUGACUUCAUAAUCCGCAUGACCCUUAUCUGAGCUAGUAUUGUUUGUUUGACCAAGAUUAAAAAAUGAACUGCAUGGACAUUACAAACAAGUCAAGAAGAAAGAUUCAAAUGUAGAGAAGAGCACAUUAAGCUGAUGCAUUUGGUACUCUAAUAAGAAAGCCAAUAAAAAAUUGACAAGUGGCAAUUUUAAAUAGAUGAAAAAAAAGUUGAAAAACAUGAUAGAAAGUUGCAAUUAUAGUGCUGAGAUGGAUGAAAAGAAUGUGAUAACAUGUUGCACAUGUAAUAAUGCUAAGUGCCUACUCAGCCAAGCUUCUGGACAGCUUCUAUACCCUGAAAAGUAGCAAUUAAGAGUUUGGCAAAUGGAAAGUAGACGUUGUUAAGGAGGUUUUUAAUGAAAGAGCUAUUAUUGCUUCUUCAAACAACACUAGUCAAACACAUUUCUGCAGGAUCUCCGGCCAGGCCAAGUGCAUGAAAAAACCCAUCCGACUUCACUCUUCAAGCUUACAGGUACAGGUUGGCAUUAUGCUAAGCUAAAAUCAUGGUGCCUUAGACAUCAAAAGUUUUGGAUAUUGAAAAACAGUAGUGUCUACUUCUAUAUAACCUAGAAUUGCUGGCUGAUGAAGCUCCGGAUUUCUUUGUACUGGAUUCAGCAGAUUGUUGAGUGCUGAUAGCUUUCUUUGGUCUUGGGUUGGACUGCACACUUGAUGAAGAACUAUGAACCUGCAAUUCAUCGAGCACAGGAGGAUGCAAACAUCGAAACCAUGUUCUAGUCAACUUAACAAUUACAAAUAAUUAUUUACCGGUGCAGGAGGAGGAUCUGGUUUUGGGGCUUCACAUAUACACAAAGGCAUUCCACAUUUGCACUCUAAAGCUCCUACAUUGUGAUCUCCCGAAGUUGGUGCAGAUGAAGGAACAUUAUCCUCACCUAUUUUUAGCCUUGAAAUGGUGUCGGUUGCAGCAGCAAUGGCCUCCGAAGAAGUUUCUUUAUCAACAUUUCCAGAACUAAAGCAACAUAGAAGGGAAAUAUAUCAUCAAAAUCCAGCAUUAAGAAGCUAUUCCUUAUCAACAAAAGUUCCCAUAGUUACCACGAUAGAGAAAGCGAUAAAGGCUGUAUUUAUUUGUUGCCAAAUUAGCUUCAUGCUUUACCACAAGGAACAUGAAACAAGCAAUCAUAAUGGUACACUAUAGCAGAAAUUUUAGCACACCUCGUAUCACCAAAAAACUUAUAAACACCCGUCAAUAAGUUGACCUAUGGACUACUUGUGCACAUCAAAACCUAUGAAUAUCAUAUAUGGGAAGCAGCUGGACCGUUGUCCUGGUGCAAUUUUCUUGGAAGUACAAUCAUGAAUUGAAGUUUGCAAACCAAUUAAGAGAAAAGAUAGCAAUCAUCUCAAGUUAUAUACGACUAUGCAUCUAUAUCAUCAAAGAACAUAACUUUUAUAUAAUCAAGACGAAAGCAACAUUGAGAACACUACCGCGAAGAUUUGUUGAAACAUUCAUAGCAGACUCUGACAUCUGUAUAUAUGCCAUAUUGAGGCAAAGCCUGAAAAUAUAACAUGAAUUUCAGUAGGAAGUAUAUAACCUCAAGUUUAUAUUUCGUCACUUCAAUAUGAAUAAACAAGUUUUAUGCACAGAACUGUGGCAAAAUGUACCAUGUGAUAUGAUGAAUGUUCAUGGCAUAGUGUCUUCCCACAACUUCGGCAGUGAUGCUGGGCAAGAAAAGUACCAAAAGUAAGAAGCAUGUCAAACACAAGAAAGCUUGACAAUGUUCACACUUGGUUACUUAGUGGAAAGCUAGAUUUAUAUUAGCUAAAUAGUAUUUUCUGCGGAACAUCAUCAAAAAUCUAUAAACCAACUUAUAAAUCACUAACCUAAUUAUCGUGGGCGGUUAUAAUAAAUAUUUACUCAAAAAAAUAUGGUCCCUCUUAAAAGAAUGUCUACUUUAGUGGAGCCAUCUCUCAACAAUAUGGAAAAAGUCUAAUCAAACCUCGUUCAUUAGUAAAGCAUGCCUCUUAUAUUAAUUUGAAGCUUUAAGAUAGAUUCAUCUCUCCGAAAUUUCUCAAAAUCAUCCUAUCCUGUGUCUAUAAUUGCGCCUUAGCCCUGAAUACGCCGUUCAACUGUGUAGAGUAUGUAAUAUAAACAUUGAAGAAGAAUGGUUGUGACAAAAGUUGUUUCCUUGGGUUCUUAGUCAUGAGUAUAUCAAAAAUCAAAGCCUCCCAAAAGCAUUAUCCUCAUGAAUGUCAAUAACUGCUCCAACCGAACAAUACCAAUUCUCAAAUCAAACACACACUAAACCUAAUAUAGCAUACAAAUGAGAGAGCACUAGAAAUUGAAGACCCAUCACAAAAACUAAAACCAAUAAAUAUGCCCUAAAUGCAAUAAGAGUUUCUGCAAAUCCGAUUAGAUUAAUAAGCAAUUCGGCAAAUCGCUCUCGCCCAACCCAAUCAAAAUGUCUCAUAAAUCUCUGCUUCGCAGCAAUCGGAAUAGCUCCCGAAGGGAUUCGAUCGCUCUCUACGAAACAAAAUGAAGAGAAGGGUCUAAAUUCAUUAGGUCGAAUCUGAUCCUCGAGCGGAAUAGAAAGAAUCGGAGAUCUAGAGAGAGAGAAACGAGUUGACGAGUUGCGAUUAGGGCGAAGCGCGUACCCUUCGGCGAAAGGUGGUGAAGCUACAGUGGCAAACGUCGCAGCGGGAAGCCUCUUGGAAGAGGGGUGGAGUCUCCGCCAUGAUCGGACCUUCGGAAGCUCGAUCUCGAUGAGAGAGAGAGAGAGAGAGAGAUAGAGAGAGAGAGGAAGGAGAAAGGUGGGACAGGGACGAGAGACGAAGAGGGUCGGGACGAGAGGAUUGUAAUCGGUGUAAAUUUGCACUUAUAGUCCCCUGAAUUUUACCAAAUUUCAUUUUGGUACCUCUAAACCCGCACGUGCGCUGCACGUGCAAUGAACCAUCCAUCUAUUUCUCCCUCUCCCGACGCGAACCCGAUCCAUCCCACCCCACUUCGUUCGACAUCCUCUCUCUCCCUCUCUCUCUCUCUGUCCAUAAACCCUAGAGGGAACCGCACCAUGGAUCUCCUCAAGGGCUACGCCGACGAGGACGAGGACAUGAAACCCUCGGAAGAGGAAUCAUCAGAUCCAUCAAACCCUAGCGGCCACGGGGGCGCGGCGGCGGCGGCGGCGGAGGCGCCCUCGUCGCCGGAGUCGGGCUCCUCCUCGUCCCCUCCUCGCCUCUCCCUCGGGUCCAAAUCCUCCGCCCCGUCCGUGGACGAGACGGCGCUCGCCCUCACGGCGGCGGGCUCGGCGCGCUCCGCCCACCGCCCCCUCGACCCGACGCAGCACGCCGUGGGCUUCAACCCCACCUACGACCAGCUCUGGGCCCCCGUGCUCGGCCCCGCCCACCCCUUCGCCAAGGACGGCCUCGCCCAGGGCCUCCGCAACCACAAGCUCGGCUUCGUCGAGGACGCCGCGAUCCAGCCCUUCCUCUUCGACGAGCAGUACAACACCUUCCACAAGUUCGGCUACGCCACCGACCCCUCCGGCCUCUCCGUCGUCGGCGACCUCGACACCCUCGCCGCCAACGCCGCCCUCUCCGUCUACAACCUCCCCCCGCAGGAGCAGAAGCGCCGCCGCCUCCACCUCAAAUCCAGAGAUCACGACGCCGACGCCGACGCCGGCGCCGGCGCCGGCGCCUCCUCGGCGGACGCCGAGAACCCGGCCACCGACGACUGGCUCCUGAAGAACCGCAAGAGCCCGUGGUCCGGGAAGAAGGAGGCGGUCCAGGGCGAGCUCACGGAGGAUCAGAGGAAGUACGCCGAGGCCCACGCCCAGAAGAAGGCGGAGAAGGAGGGCCGGGGCGAAGGCGGGAGAGGGGACAAGCCCGAGCUCGUCGUCAAGAGCACCUUUCACGGCAAGGAGGAGCGCGACUACCAAGGCCGCUCGUGGAUUGCGCCGCCCAAGGACGCCAAAGCCACCAACGACCACUGCUACAUCCCCAAGAGAUUGGUUCACACAUGGAGCGGCCACACGAAAGGGGUCUCCGCCAUCCGCUUCUUCCCCAAGCACGGCCACCUCCUCCUAUCUGCUAGCAUGGACUCCAAGGUUAAGAUUUGGGACGUGUUCAAUUCCGGCAAGUGCAUGCGCACUUACAUGGGCCAUUCGAAAGCAGUUCGCGACAUCUCCUUCUCCAACGACGGCUCCAAAUUCUUGAGCGCGGGCUACGACAAGAACAUCCAGUAUUGGGACACCGAAACUGGCCAGGUGAUCUCCACUUUCUCUACGGGAAAGAUCCCCUACGUUGUUAAGCUGAACCCGGACGAAGAUAAGCAGAACAUUCUUCUCGCGGGGAUGAGCGAUAAGAAGAUCGUCCAAUGGGACAUGAACUCUGGUCAGAUCACGCAGGAGUACGAUCAACAUCUAGGGGCGGUGAAUACCAUCACUUUCGUGGAUAACAACCGAAGGUUUGUUACUUCGAGCGACGAUAAGUCCCUUAGGGUUUGGGAAUUUGGGAUUCCGGUGGUUAUAAAGUACAUCAGCGAGCCCCACAUGCACUCCAUGCCGUCGAUAUCUCUACACCCGAAUUCGAAUUGGCUUGCGGCCCAGAGCUUGGACAAUCAAAUACUUAUUUAUAGCACAAAGGAGAGGUUUCAGCUGAACAAGAAGAAGAGGUUUGCUGGGCAUAUUGCGGCAGGGUACGCGUGCCAGGUGAAUUUCUCUCCGGACGGGCGGUUUGUGAUUUCGGGCGACGGAGAGGGGAAGUGCUGGUUUUGGGAUUGGAAGAGUUGUAAAGUGUUCAGGACUUUAAAGUGUCACGACGGUGUUUGCAUAGGUUGCGAAUGGCAUCCGUUGGAGCAGAGCAAGGUGGCGACUUGUGGAUGGGAUGGCAUGAUCAAAUACUGGUAAGCUUACGUAUCAUUUUCUAUUUUCUUUUGAAGAGGCAUACUAGAGCAGUUAAUUGCAUAAUCUUUUAGUGAUGAUAAUAUUUGUGCUUGCUUGUGUGAUGUUUCUUCUCACUGUGCUGCUUAGGAUCUUCUCGUUAGUUUGCUGUUGAUUUGCUUUCUUUAAGUAACUCAUAAAAUUAACUUUGCCUUACAAAAUUAAGAUCAAUGGACAAGAGCACCAACAACAAGAAGAGUAAUUAGUGUUUAGUUGCAACUGUACGGGGCUGGCUUUGUUUUAGGUAAAACUCUUCUUAAACCAAUGUCAUCAUGUUAUUCCUCACUACUUCCCCUAGAGUAAAUUCUUUUAUCUCCACUUUUCUCUUCUCGAAUUACUUAUUUGUCUUAGUCUCUUUACUAGCAUACCAGAUGCUCUCAUUUCCUUGCUCUUUUCCGUCAAUUGUUGUAGUCAGGUUUUGUCAUUGAAUAGUAGUACGUCUUGAGGCAUAGGUGUUUUGGUGCCAAAGUUCAUGUCUUAGUGUUAGAUUCUCUAUAGUAUAUGAAAAUUCAUGAUCUCGUGUUAGGUUUUCAUUUCAGAAUUUAUAGGUAAGGUUCAUUCAUCAUUUCAAAGCCUUUUUCACUGAGGUUUUAGCUCAGUGGCAGUUUAAUAGUGUUUUAAGAGCAAGAGUGGUGGCUUACUAAUAUAAAGAGCUGAUAGGGGAAAAAGGUACAUAUCUCAGCAGUUGCAGUUGAUACAGCAAACUGUUUAUAUCAAAUCACCUCGUAACGCUUUGCUAGAUCCACAAUGGUUUGACGAAUGGUAAUUUGUCGAACCAGUUAUUCUGUUCAAGGUAUAACUGGAAAAGUGUUCCCUUGAUGAUGAAUGUUGCUGCCUUGUUCUAACCUGCACUGGAAAAGUCAAUCCACUUCAUAAUAUACCUUAAGCAAGAAUCUUAAUCGCUAUAAUUGAAUAUUCUUUUGACAUCAUAUUUGCACUUUACAUUUUGGGUAUCCUUGGAAUCUCACUCUUUAUUGCUUUACUUCUCCUAUCUCAUGGUUAUGCCAUUCUUGCAGGGACUAAUUCGACGGUGAUUCCAAAAUUCACUCAGAAAGUUCUUUCAUUACUCAAGGUUGAGAAGCCUGCGAAAUAUAGAGGAUCUUGCCGUUGAUCAAAUUUUCAUGGUCGAACAUCCGUACGCGUUGAGCUAAUCCCGUUGUAUCUGCUCCUAAAAGUCAUCAAUCUAUCGGCCUGCUGAGCUAUCAUUGUUGUAACUGCUUAUUCUAUCUGGUCCUUUAUUAAGCAAGGAUAUGUAACAAUAGUUAUGUUACUGUGAAAAGCUAUGGCAUCUUUAUAAGUGCUUCACUCUGAGUAACUUUUUUUUCCCCCCUUCUGACUCCACUCCACUUUGUUGGUCUCAUUUUUGAGGUUGUUUCAGUACAGAGGUUUAGUUAACCAUGGAGAAACCUGGCUACUUGUUCACCAUUUUUGUAUCCCCACUUUUUUUUUUUUUCUAAACUUAAACAGAUUAUCCGUGAUCCAACUAAUUUGAUGUUUGAUAUAUUGGUUGGAAAAUUUACAAGGAUUUGAAAUUCUUAUGAGCAAGCUCUUGUGUGCUUGCAUAGUUUUGUUACUAGUCACUAGCAAAUGCUAUUACCUCUAGAAAAGUUAAAGUGUUCAAAUUUGACACAUUCUAUUUAGCGCAUUGGGAACUUAGGACGGACAAAAGUUCCAUGAUGUCAAGCUCAUUACCGAAAUUCUCUGGAACACAUGUAUGGUUUGCUUCAACAGGGCAAGAAGAAAAAGAAAGCCAAAAAAAGAAAAAAACUUUUUACUACUAAACCAAAGUAACAAUUGAAUGCCUUAAAUCUGAAAUAUACAAGCCGCAAAUGAUAUGGUUAAACUUAACAAUGUCUUAAAUGCAACCUGCAGACACCGAUGACGAUUACAUCCCUGACCAGUAUAACAUUUCUGCAGAACUUUUGAGAUUAUCGCAUUCGUUUCUGUCGGUUCAAUGCUUCUCUUUCUUCUUCUUCUUAUUUCCAUUCGCAAAUUGCUGCCCAAGUGUCAGAAAAGGUCUUCUUGCAUGGAUGUAACAGUUGAGAGGUGACCGCUGAGCUUUACUGCACCUCCCCAUAUCUUCCGCAUAUCUGUUAUCUGAGUGCCUGCUUAAGAAAACACCCAAGUAUUUAUCGAAAUUCUACAAUAGUUUCUCACUAGAAGCACAAGUAAAGAAGUUCACUUUCCUGAAUCUCAUUUAAACUUUCUAGUACAGCAAAAGCCCAAAACUUGAUUUAAACUCAACAAAUUGAUCGAACCAAGACAAUUGAUCCUCAAUCAUAAGUGAAUUAGAGGGAACUAACAGUUUGCAUCUAAUGAGACUGCUAGUAUUUCACAAGCAUUCAUCGGAUGAAUAAUCGCUAACUCAUCAUGAUGACCAAAGUUGAAAAAUACGCCGCGAACUAAGCAAAUGCUAUUAGAUAUAUGCCAUUCGACAGAAUUAUAUAAAUUCAAACUGUAGCAAUUCAUCAGGAUAUCCUGCAAAAUGGUUGAUCUAAGGUCAGUCGAAAGGAAACACAAAAUGCUGUAAACAUUCAGCCUAUUUACUCGAGAUGCAAACAUAAAUUUGCAGCAGAUACCAUAGAAAUAUUAAUCAACAUAAAUUACUCAAGCAAAAAUAAUUCAAAAGCAUAAAGAGUCCUCAGAUAGCAAAUUAAUAUCAUGCACAACAGCUACUUCUGGUUAUUCAUUCGGCACUUGCGAUCCUGAAUCCUCCUCAUUGGACAUUAAAAUUGCUUAUUUAGUAGCAUAUCAACAGUACAAAUAAGAAUUUACCACCUGAUACAGAGAUGGACUAGCACUAGAUCAUAUGCCUCAAUCCAACAAAGAAUCCUACAAAUGUAAACAAAUUAAUUUCAUCUUGGCACAUCGUAAUCUCUAUGCAAGAAAUGAACCAAUUACAACUGCAGUGUGAGAACAGUUGAUGAUUCGGAGAGAAAUUUCUUCGUAAUGAGAGUAACUAACAAAUUAAUCUUAAUUAAUACCAUUUGCUGUAUAUGAUUUACAUGGAUAUAUUCUAGAAUACAGUAAAAAUACUCAAAUUUGGUAAAAUAAAUCAUGCAAAAUAGCUAAAAAUUAUCAAUAAAAAAAUAAAUUAUGCAAAACUCUUGAGCCCUCAGAAACGACAUUUGAAAUCAUAGAAACAGCUACUUUUAAAAGCUGAAUUAAUCAUACGGCACUUGCAAUCUACAAGAUCUCAUCACUGGGCACUCAAAUAUACAUGAUCAAAAACAUGUAAAUAGGAUACGGAUUAAGGGGGCGAAGUAUGAUCAAAACCCUAAUUCACAAAAUUUAGAACGCGAAAAGCGAUUUAGUAGUAGAGAGACCCGGCGCCGCCUCUCAUUGCGCAGGGGCGAGAGAACUUCCAAACCCUAGGUUUUGAGUGGGUAGUAAAAUGUACUGUGAACCCCUCACCAAAGGACUAAUUUGAAAUGAACCCUUAACGUUUUAUAAACAACCACCCAACGAGUAUCAAACCAAGUUAUUUUUUGUUCAUCUAUGAAUUGUAUUUUGCUUAAAUAUUAAAUAUCAAAGUUAUAAAUUUUUAAAUGUAACUUUAGAUUGAUUCGACUCAUUUGAUUAUUGAAUACGAACGUGAUCAGUUUCAGGCUGGUCAAACCAUAUAAAAAAAAAAGUAUAUAUAAUUUGUCAUUUUUUAAAAAACAAAUUUUAUCCGCAAAAUAAAAUAAAAUUUUUUAAACAAAGAUUUUAUUUUUGACAAUUGAAAUUUUGGCUGAAUACGGUGCACAUAACUGCAGUAACAAAUUACUUUGUUGCUUUUUGUGUGUGAUAGUACGUCAUGUGAAUCGGACUGUUCUGAACCAUUCUAUUCUAUAUUAAGUCAAUUUUUUAGAUAGUAUAGUUUAGCCAGUUCCAAACUUUCUUUCUUUCAAAAAAUUUUAUUAUUUUAUGGUAUGCCUAUUAACUAAUUCACUGUCUCUUUCAUUAUAUAAGCACGUAACACAAUUUAUCUAGCAUUUAUUGUGUACGUGAGUGAGUGUGUUAAAACUAAUCAUAGAUCAUAUUUUACUAGAUCAAAUUUUCAGUAAUACCCAACAGUAUUAAACAUAUAUAAUAGUAUCAGACAUACCUCAAUAGCAGGCAAAUAAGCUGUGUUUUAACAAAUUUUUUUACCAGUAAAAUAACUUUGUAUAUAUGUUUAAAUUAUCUUUUGCUUUGCAGUAGAGAAGCUGUUCGAGAAACCCAAACAUGCUUAAAAGCAAACUGCAUGCCGUGGGGAAGUGGAAAUAGCAUCCCCAUGGGAUCGUCCAAUUCCCAUAUCCUUUCCUUUCCCUGACCAAAUUUACAUGCCCAGGUUUUUUUCUCCAAAAACUGGAGAAUCUGAUUCCUUCUUGUUUUCUCCCUUCUCAUAUUCCUUUCCCCCACCUCUCAAAUUUCAAUCCCUUUACAUAUAUAUAUACACCUAAGAGGCACGGAAAAAUUAAAAAGGAAAGCAAAAGAGAAGCAUCUUUUUAUUUGCUAUCAUUCAAACAUUCGCGGCGAAAGCGCGAUGGGAUGUCGAGCUUAUUGUAGUCUAGUUCUGCUUGGUCUCGCGGUGGGGGUUCUGCUGUCGACGGCGCAGGCGCAGGCGCAGGCGCAGGCGCAGGCGCAGGCGAUGGGGAUAAACUGGGGGACGCGGGCGACGCACCCAUUGCCGCCAGAUAUCACGGUGCGGCUGCUGCAAGACAACGGGUUCGCGAAGGUGAAGCUGUUCGAGGCCGACGACCUGGCGCUGCGCGCGCUCGGCAGGUCUGGAAUUCAAGUCAUGCUCGGCAUCCCCAACGAGUACCUCGUGCCGCUUGCCAGUAGCGUCCGCGUCGCCGAGCAGUGGGUCAUGCAGAACGUCUCCUACUACAUCUCUAAGUUCGGCGUCGACAUCAGGUCAGUAGUAAAGUGCUACACUUCAUUCAACCAAAUAAGAUAUACAUAAUUAUAUAUUAGUUAUGUAAACUUAUCUAUUUUUGACAAAAUGCAAGUUAUGUCCAAUCAAGUCAUUCAAAUUUUCUUUUAAAGCGCGGGGCCUACGUAUAGAUGAAUAUAUAAUAAUGAAUAUAUAAUAAUAAAAUUCAAACUUUUGAUGUUACAUGAUUUUUCCAUCAAAUAAUAAGAUUUUAAAAUAAUGCAUACAUAAGGGCCCAUCUUAAGUCCCUUCAAUUUGUGGCCUUAACCUAUUUUAUUAUUUUGGAUAGUCGAAUUGUUUAUUAUUUUUUUAUACUUAAAAAAGUCCCUCUUUUUUUUUUCAAAAGUUAAAACAAAAAGUUUCCAUUUCCCAGAAAGUUGUUCCAGAUCACAAAGGGGAAAGCAUGCUAACCCACUGAAAAUAUGCAUGCAUGUGCGGUGCAUUACAAACAAACUUUUUUUUUUUUUCUUUUUUUUUAAUACCGACUGUUUCUAGAGCAAGUGAUAAAAGAUUUUAUGGUUGAUAUUCGAGGUCCUAAAUUCAAAUCCUUAUUGAUUCACAUUUCUAACUAAGUUUAUCUCUUUUGACAUUACAAUACAUGACUAAUUUUGUAUGGAAAUGUCAUUUACUUAGACAUUACGGCAUGUAACAUCUUUUGUGGUAGCUCGCAACCUAAAGAUUAAUAGAAAAAUUGAGAUGUUAUAAUUUAAGAAAACAGAGGCUCAGUUUUGUCUGUGUAUGUUAUGUAAGGUACGUAGCCGUGGGCAACGAGCCGUUUCUGAAGACGUACAAGAGUCUCUACCAGCAAACAACUUUUCCGGCCCUGCAGAACAUCCAGGCCGCGCUGAUUAAAGCAGGUCUAGGGCGGCAGGUGCACGCGACCGUCCCGCUGAACGCCGACGUCUAUGAGACGUCGACCGGGGUGCCCUCGGGGGGCGACUUCCGGGCCGACAUCCGCGACCUGAUGAUCAGCAUCGUCGGAUUCCUGCAGAACAACGGCGCCCCGGUCGCCAUCAACAUCUACCCGUUCCUGAGCCUCUACGCCGACCCGCACUUCCCCAUCGACUACGCCUUCUUCGGCGGGGGCGCGGCGCCGGUGGUCGACGGGAGUGUGACCUACACCAACGUGUUUGAGGCAAACUAUGACACGUUGAUAUGGGCUCUGGAGAAGAACGGGUUCGGGUCCAUGAACGUUAUUGUGGGGGAGAUUGGGUGGCCUACGGAUGGGGACCCGAAUGCCAAUUUGGAGUAUGCUGGCAGGUUCAACCAGGGCCUCAUCGACCGGAUCACACGAGGUGAGCAUUGGUGUUUUCGGCUCUCAAAAAAUUCAAAAUCAAACGCACAAGGCGCUCUUAUCGUCCAUCUUAGGCCGCUCAAUUGAGCUUUAACGGUCAAAUAUUUUGAUUCAACUUUCGAUCAUUGCGCAAGUUUCGAUUUUUUUUUUUCUAUUUAUCAAAUACUCUGCUGGAGAUAACGAAUUUAGUGGGGCGCUGAACAUUUACUGAGUGGUUUUUUGUCACUCCAGGCAUGGGCACGCCGAAGCGGCCGACGCCGCCGGAGAUCUACAUCUUCGCGCUGAUCGACGAGGACGCAAAGAGCAUCCAGCCGGGCAACUUUGAGCGGCACUGGGGCCUCUUGUACUACGACGGCACGGUCAAGUACCCGCUUACGUUGGAAAAUGGCCAGAACUUAACCGGCGCAGUGGGCGUAAAGUACUUGGACCGGCAGUGGUGCGUCCUGGCGCCGGAGGCCAGCAUUGCAGACCCUAACAUCCCAGGAGCCGUCGACUACGCAUGCCAGUACAGCGACUGCACCAGCCUCAGCUACGGCUCGUCGUGCAGCGGGCUCGACGCGCGGAGCAACGUAUCGUACGCGUUCAACCAGUUCUACCAGACAGCGAACCAGCAGAAGGGGGCCUGCAUGUUUUCGAACCUGUCAGUGAUCACGCAGACCGAUCCGUCGCAAGGGACCUGCAGGUUUGAGAUCAUGAUCGACACGGGGAGGCACGAGCUGACUUCGAACACCGACAGGGCCGUCGCGAGGGCGUCGGCCGUGGUUGGGAUUUGGAGUGUGCUAGCAGCAGUCGGUUUGGCGGCGAUAAACCUAUAAAACAGUGCAUCUGAACAUCUCAUGCAUCUCAUCUUCGGAAAAGAUAGAAGUUUAAGAUGGAAUGGAUGUUUAUACACCAGAUGCGCACAACAGUUUCCCAAAGAAAGUAGGGUGCAUUCUAAAAAACAAACUUUUACGCACGAAAAAGAUUGAACUUAGGAUUAAAAAUUAAGAUGAGAUGAAAAGAACGCGGCAGACAAAAUCUCAGUCCAUAGCAUCUCCUUGUAGGGCAAGAGGCCCCUUGUGGAAGGGAGCAGAGAUUGUUGAGAUAUGCUCUUAUCUCAGGAAACUAUUGCCCAGGAGAUGCCUGAAAUUAAUCCACUCUGAAAUUACUUGCAAUUUAGAUUUAAGAUAAGAGUGAUUCUUUUAAACUCUUACAUUCUGAUUCAUUAAGUAAUUAUGUAUUUGAUUAGAAUAAGCCAACUAACAGUUGGCAUUUUCUUCGGUUAGAGUUUCACAACACUCUUCCAGUACAUAGUAUUACACUGUAAAACAAAUUGAUUCAUGAUAUAUUUUGUGCAUAUUGCUUACUUUAUCCAGUUCUCUGUUUAAUUUAUCUUUAUCCACCACAACUUCUCUAUGCAAUGAAUUAGUUUUAGCAACUGGUCAAAUUACUCUCAAAAAAAAAAAAAAAAAAAAAAAAAAAAACACAGCAACAACUAUAAUAGAAACUCUAGAUGAGUCACCUUGUUAUUUUGAGUGUUACUGUUACCUCUCACUGGAUCAACAAAAUUUGCUCAAAUAACAUUUAUACAAAAUAGGCUAUAGGUUAUCACCACGCCAAAGUAUGCAAAGUUGCAAGGAAAAGGAAAAAAAUAAUGGAAUUAUGAUACUUAUGAUACAGCCGUAAUCGCAAGCAUAACACCCGCAAAAUAUGUACUAAGGAAACAAUAUAUAUAUAUAUAUAUAUAUAAUCACCCGAUUAAACGAGGAGAAGCUAACCGACAAAUACACAGCUUAGAACGUAUAGUCUGGCGUAUCGGUCUCAUCCGAUCGCCAGGGAGAGCCUUGCCCAUCUCCUCCGACCAUCCGCUUACUCAUGUUGGCCCUUUGCACCAGGCGAACUAAUGCUUGCACGACUUCCGACAUGGGCGGCCUAAAUUCUGGCUCGGGCUGCCGUAAUAAAUGUCGGGGUUAUGAAGUUGAAUUUACGUUUUUUUUCAUCUCUUUUGUACGAUGGUGAAUCUAGACUGAACUCUUAUUGUGUUUCCAAACUAUGAAACUGAAAGUAUUAUAAGUUCAGAUGUGCAACAUACCUGAACACACAGAGCAAUAACAUCUGCGAACCUAGAGAGAGAUUUCGCCGGGUAUAACCCCUGAAGGGCCGGAUCAACCAUCCGGUCUAAAGCAUCGAUGUCGUGCAGCUGGGGAGUAGCCCACCGAACCAACGACUGCUCAGAUCGCGGUCUAGAGCUGCCGCAGUUUGUCAGAACAGACAGCAUUUCAGUAGAUCGAAUUUUAGGUCGAGGAAAUUACAGAUCAAAUUUGAAUUAACUUUUAUAAUCUUAAUUUUCAUGAUCUAGAAGAGUGCUGAAAUGAAGAAUCACCCGUCGAAAGGCUUCCGCCCAGUCAAGAGCUCCAGCAUGACCACUCCGAAGCUGUAAAUGUCGCUCUUGAGACUAUACUGGCCGGACAUGGAAACCUCCGGAGCAGUGUAUCCGGAGUUCUCAUCUGAUGCCUAUAGAAGUCAUUUUUCAAGUAUGUUAGAUCUACCUUUUUCAAUUUUGGUAUGGAGUAAAAAUACAUUAGGUUGCAUCUUCAUACCUGGAAUUCUGGGUUUGGAACAAGGCUCGCAAGCCCAGAAUCUGAAACGUGAGGGUUGAGCUCCAUGUCCAAUAAAAUGUUUGAUGACUUGAAAUGUUUAUGGAUGAUAGACGGCGAGCAUACUUCAUGCAGAUACCUGGAAAUAAAAUUUGUACAGACAAAAUGAUCAAGGUAUUAUUCAACGUCAAUAGGCCCACAAAUUUGACUACAAAGAGAAUAGGCAUCAUCUUGUAUAGAUUAAACGAAAACUAUAGCGAAGGGGGAAAAAGAAAGAAGAAGAGAUAACAAGUUGCCCUCGAUUAUUGGAAACACCACUAUCCUUUAGCAGUUCAUAUAAAAGAAAUAUUGCAUUGCACUAUUUCUCAGUUAUCUACUACAAAACAAAAUUACCGAGUGGCUGCUCGGCACGGAUGAAGCAAAGCUGCGGCAAAAGACAGAAGCUUCAAAUGAUAUUUGGAGCUAAGAAGCUCAUUCAACUCUCUACCACAGUAAAAUAUAUAGAUUUCUUGUUUGCCAAGAGUCUAAUUACUGCUUUGAAAAGUAGAAUAACUACUCCAAAAGCUAGGCCAAACAUGCACAGAUCUCCAAAGAAUAAUUAAAAAUAAAAUAAAAAUGAUAUUCUGUCUAUUUGACUUACUCUAGCGCCCGUGCAGAGCCCAGUGCGAUCUUGACGCGCUGAUUCCAUGACAGUGGCUUGUUGUAGUCAUCGGGGAGGCGAAGGAAAUCAUGCAGUGAGCCGUUUCCGUGGAACUCAUAGACCAGCAAGUGCUGCCCGUGUUCAUUACAGUAGCCAACCAGCUCGGAUAGAUUCAGAUGAUGCAAGCAUGAGAUGUUUGAGACCAACUCAAUGAAGUCGCCAGAUGACAAAUUGGGAAGAGCAUUAAAGUUUAUUUUCUUCACAGCCAGAACCUAUAACAAAUAGACAAAUUUAGAGUUUGCUCUGUUCAAUGUUUGUCAAUGAAUGAAGAUUGGAUAGUGAAAAGAGCCACGCUUAAUUAAAAAUAUCAUGCAUUUAAACUAUCUAACUGAAAGAUAAAAAAUUUACUUCAACUGCGAAAUAUGAAUGAUAAUUUGCUUUUUUCAGACGUAGAAAUAUUGAAACAUUAUCCCUUUUCUUACAUUCAACAAAGUCGUGCUCUUUACGCACGGAGAAUGAACCUCCUGUAAUAUGCUAUUUACGACAAAGCGACCAAGAUCAAAGUAUCGUUGGUUCGACAAAGAAAAGAAUACUAAUUUUUAAGCACUAGAUACUAACUAAACUUCUUUAGAUACUGGAACAGCAGGGAGGAGAUUAAUUCCAAGACCAAUAGAGAAGCAAACCUUUUCAUCGUCAAAUUCAGCUCUAUAAACACGCCCAAAGGACCCUUCUCCAACAAGAUUGUCCACGCUGAAGCUGUUGGUUGCCAUUUGCAAAUCAGCUAUGGAAUACACCGUUGCUUUUAUGGGAGCCAAAUCAGUUUUCUUUGCAACAGGCUUGUUUGAGGUGUCAUUUUCAUCAAAUGACUUGUGGAUUUUAGGAGGAGGUUUAAGGCUGAUCGGAGCAGCUGGAGGCAAUGCUGAAUUGUCGAGUAUGGAAACGGUCUGCGUCAAUUUCAUCUCUGCAGCAUAACAGUAACACGAAAGUGAUAAAUAACGUAUAUUGAAUCUAUACAACUAAGAAUAGCAAGCAAAAUGUUAGAAAGGUGGGAAAAUGGUGCAUUAUUAGUGCAAAUGUGAAGAAAGAAAAUCACACGACUCUUCAGAAGUGGGAGUACGAGUUUCUGCAUCGGCGUAAAAUUACCUUUUUCUCCAUUUGAAGCAAAAGGCGCAAAAGGGGCAAAAGGCUGUUUCUGCUCGGGAUUCUGUUCCCCUUUCCAACUUUUCUUCUUAACCAAGAAGAACGCAACUAUUCCACCUACGGCCAAUACGGAUAUGAUAAUUCCAGCUAUGCCCCCACCACCUAUACCAGAACUUCCACCACCACCACUUCCCCCGCCGCUUGAUGGGUUGUUACCACUAUUGGAGUUCUGACCCGGGUUUACUUUUCGACCCGGCGGAGGAGGCGUAUAUGGUGGAGGUGGAGGCGCAGGGCCAGAGCUCCAGGAAUUACCACCGGUCCUAUGAAAGAGAAUUAUACAUAUGAGAUGUAAAUAACUAAUAGUAUGCAUGAUCUUAUCAAAAUGGGUAAAUUGCACCAUGGUCCACUGGUCACUAGUUAAACUUAUCAAAGUUCCAUUUAGGUCGCUAAACUCCAAUUUGUUGCUGUUGAGUCACUGAACUUUCAAUUUCUUGAAGAUGAUGAUGAAUCAGUUGCCACGUGAUUGUUAGGGAAAUUAAAUGAAACGUCAUAAUAUGUGGCCAAUUGUGUAGUGUGUUCUAAAAUCAAAGGACUACUCACUGAAGGUUAUUAAUCUUUUGAAGCCGAUCAGGAAUCCAGCCGGUAAAGCGGUUACUUUCAACAUUCCUGCAGGCACGAGGAGACAAAUCAUUUUUACAACACAAAUAGAGUUUCUUUUCCCUUUUGUUAAAAAAUAAAUAGAAACUUACAAAUCUUCAAGGGGAAGAGCAGCAAGGACAUCUAUGGUGCCAGUAAAUUGGUUGUUCUGCACAUAACUGAUGUAGAGAUAUCGAAGGAGUCAAUAUAUUUAUACAUAAACAUAAAUCACUCUUGUGCAUAAUAUCAAUUAUAGACAGCUUAGGGUCGUCCUUACAGAGUAUUCAAACUCGUCAAGGAGCUGAAGCUUUGAGGGAGGUCACCGGUGAGAGAAUUAAAGGAGAGGUCCCUGCAGCAUGAAUUCGUAAUUUUAAAAACAUUAAACAGAAAGGCCCGAUAUGAUGCAAGAGACUGAAAAUUAGCAUUUCGGUAUGUAGACAUUAAUUCUUCAGUGAAAGAAUAUCUCAAGUAAUUCAAUCACCUAGUUUACUAACAAGGAAAUUAUAACAAGGAAAUCGCCCGAGUUUCCAUUUAAGGUAACUAACCAUCCGUAUAGAUCACGAAAAAGCACAUGCUUUUGUAGUCGAACUAAUAAAUGAGAUCGAUCAGAAGAACACUCACAUAGUGGUCAAAUUGGUAAGUUUGUAGAAUAUAUCGGUGAGAUUUCCCUGGAGUUGAUUAUGACCAAGAAUUCUACAUUCAAAACACUCAAGUUAUGUAAUAAACUAUCGAAAGAAAGGGCAAGAGAUAGCAAAAUUGACUUCAUUAAGAAGUCCACUUACAGAUAUUUGAGAGUAACCAUAUAAGAAAUUGAGUAAGGUAGAUUUCCGUUAAAUUGGUUCCCAGCAAGAUUACUGCAGAUAAAAUUCAUCAUAUAAUAUUCACUAUCAAAAAUUUAAAAAAAGAAAAAGAAAAAAGAGUUGAAACCAGAAAAAUCGGCAUAACUUACAAUCUCUCGAGAUUAGGAGGAAGAUUAUAAGGUAUCUGUUGACCACCGCCAAGAUUGUUGUUGCUUAAAUCACUGCGUCAAAAUCAAGAGAUUAAAACCAAUUCUCCAUUAAGUCCCGAAAGUUUGACCCAGAUUCCAAUCAAGUUGUCACGUUUUCACAGUUCAAUCCCGAAAAAGGCACAGGGUCAACAUCCCGAAAGUUUUACGCAGAACAAACUGCAGGGACUGAGUUAUCGAAAUUGAAACUCUGAGAACGUAACUAAAGAAAGACGAGAUCAAACAUAACGGCAUAAAAUGAAACCGAUCAUAAAGCAAAAUUACAAAACAAGAAAGAUCAAACUCACAGCUCAGUGAGCGAAGCCAUGUUAUUCAAAUUGUAGCCUAAAUUCCCGGUAAGUCCCAUUCCAGAUAAUUUACUGGUAGAGUUAUAACAGCAAACAACAAGCAGAAAAAAAAAAAAAAAACAAUCAGAUGGAAUUGAUUCAACUGCAAAUAAGUUACACCGCAAAGCUAGGCUCACAUUGAUUUAACCGAAGAACCGGCGCAGGUAACGCCGAGCCAUGCCUGUCCGCAGGGAUCGCCGCUGUUUGCGGAGGACCAACCCGUAAGCUGUGAGGGUGAAUUGAAGCUUGUGUACAAUACAUUGAGAGCAGAAACUGCAUGCAAAGAAUAAAAAUGGAGAAAAACUCAUUACCAUUGAUUGGGUAGAGUAAAUGAUUGGGCAUCACUUUUUUCCAACUAAUAAAGAAUAUCUAAUGUUUUCAACACAAUUUUGGGUCCAUGAAGAUGGAUUUGUGUCUCUUUUCUUCUUCAUCUGUCAUAGAAAACUAAAAUCAUGAAGAGAAGUUCAUUCCAAUAUUAAGUCUCGAACAGUGUACUUCCUCUUUUUCCUUAAAAAGAUAUGAGCUUUUUCAAGUCCAACAAAAUUCACUUCUACAAUCCAAACAAUUAUUUGCCAAAAAUAGAAAAUGUUCAUUGGAAUACUUGUUAUGAAUUGAAUUAAAACAUCUAAAUUACGAGCGCAACCAAGAAAAAAAAUGAUUUUUAUGCCUAAAAACAAGACAACCCACUUGCUCACCUUCAAAUAGUGAGCUUCAAAACCCCAAAAAGAUAGAAUCAUAAAAAAAAAAAAGGAAAAAAAAAGGAGAAAAGCACAAAGAUACCAAUCAAACAACAACUUUUCUUCUUUGACAGGGGAAAAAAAAGAAAAAAAGAGAGUGAGGGAUUCAACAACGUCAAUACAGAACAUUCCUCUGAAUGCCCCAUGCCCACUCCCUAACUUUCCUACUACAAUCUAGUAAGAGGAAAAUUUAAAAAAAAAAAAGAAAAAGGCCCAAAAAUUAGAAAAAGCUCACGCACCAUCAUUUUGGUCAGUGUUUCCAAAAACAAAGCUUUGAUUCAACACCAAAAUGCAUGCCAAAAUUAGAGCUUUAAUCCCACCCAUCUCUCUCUCUCUCUUUCUCUUCUUUCUCUUUCUCUCUCCUCCUCUUCACCACCCUCUCAUCUUCCCAACCAACGGCCUUCGCCUCUUUCUCUCUCCCUCUCCCUCUCUGUCUGUCUCUCCUCUAAACUGAAUAAAAAAGAAGAAAAAGCUCUGUUUUUUCCUGCUCUCUAGCUUUUAUAUUUCCCCCUACUUUUUUUUUUUGCAUUUUUUUAAGUUGGAAUCUGCAUAAAAAAGCAAGCUGGCACAAGAACCGAGAUGAAUAAUCCAAAAGCGCGGUGGUAAAUUUAAAUUUUCGACGAAUUAUUCGGAUUUUUUUUCUUGUUUUUUCUCUCUUUUUUCGUUUUCGAGGACGAUUAAAAGAGAGCUUUUUUAUUUCACUGAGAGUGAGAGGUGACGUUAAUUGAAAAGGAAAUGGGCGGUAAUGUUACCGGAGGUGACGAGAACUCGUAGGACAGUUGUGGGGCCCACGUGGAACGUUGAACUAGAUUGGGCCAUGGGAUUGUGGGCCCACGGUAUCGGUGUUUUUUUUUUUUUUUUUUUUUUUUUUUCUUUUUUUUUUUUUAUAUAGUGCUCCUAUAAAAUAAAUAAAUAAAUAACCACAUUGUACCAUAGUUACACAGUAAAAUCCAUCACUUUGUGUCUAUUUUUUCUCUUAAAUUUUUUGGGUUAGGAAGCGUUUGGUUAGGUAUAAAAUAAAUCAAAAAAAUAUUUUCGAUAUAAAAAUAUUUUUUUAUUUAUUUUGUUCGACGUAAAAAUAUUUAUCUAUAAGAUUUUUUUUUAUGAAUUUGAAAAAAAAAUAAAAUUUUCUUUUUUUGCUAUUUUCCGGUAAAAAAUUAAAACUCAAACUGUGUAAAAAAAUUCUCAUUCAUAUUUUUAUCUAACCAAACAAUGUGAUUUUUUUUCCAUUCAAUCAAAGAAAUGUUGACGUAAAAUUAUUUUUUUUUCUUACAAACAAAAUACUAGAAAAUAUAACACUUUUUUCUACUGAAAAAUUAUUUUUCACGAUUUUAUUUUGAACAUGUUAAAUAUAAAAAUAUUUAAACACUGCUCUCUACGAAAUUAAGCUUUUAGAAUAUAAUAUGUGUUUUGUAUAAUUUAAUAUGAUAUCAGAGGAAAAAGUCCUAAAUUCGAGUUACGCCAGACUUCUAUCAUUUUAAUAUUCUCUUAUUUAAUUCAAAUUCACGUCAUAAGCAUUGUAAAAAGUCUCAAAUCUAAAUAUAAGAGGGAAUAUUAAAUAUAAAAUAGUUCAAUACCGUUCUUUAUGAACUUAAUUUUUUAAAGUACAAUAAUUAUUUCAUAUUAUUUUUCAGAACCAAACGUACCCUUAAUUGCUCUAUUUUUUUCUAAACCUUAUCUCUAUAUUUCGAAUCUCCUUUUUUUCCUACUAGAUCUUUAAUUUUUAUAGUUAAAUUUUGUUUGAUUUCGAUUAAAUAAUUUUAAUAAAAUAAAUCACAUCAAUUGUAAUACAAUAUUUUUUAUUCAGAUAGACCGUAAUGAUUAUUUCGGCAUCGAUCUUUUCAAGUGUUUAACAAUAUUUUCAAUUACCGAUUAUUCCUAACGCAAGUGGCAAAAAACUUAAUGAUUGGUAUCUGAGGUCCUAAGUUCGAAUUCUAAUUGAUUCAUAUUUCUAACUAAGUUUAUUUUUAAAUAAAAUAAAUAAAGCAGAUAAUAUACUGCCUAUCUCUCUCGAAAAAAAAAAAAAAAAAAAAAAGAAAAAAAAAAGACAAUGUAUCCAGUUUAAACAUAAAAAACACCAAAUUUUUCAAAAAAAAAAACAAAAAACAAAUAUUGCAAUUAACUUUUUUCUUUCACAAACAAAAUAACACCUCAGUUUGGUUGGUAGGGUGGGUGGGUCCCCUACUUGAUGGGAGGUAAAGAAAUUUUGUUUUUUUAUGGUUUAUUUUCUUUUGCUGAUUCCGAGAGCCCAAUAAAUUCGCUGAAUCCAUUACUAUUGUCGGAUGAGAAAGAAUCCAAAUAGUUAAUUAUUUUAAAAAUAUGUGCCGAUUAUAUUUAAGGACCAUAAUUUUCAUAAAUUUCGAUCUGACUCAAUUGAUCUGAAUAUUAGACAUAUAAUUUGAUCUACCACUCAACUUAUUAGACAUAUUUUAAUCUAAUAAUAAAUAGCUAACACCAAGCAACAAUAUUUAUAGCAAACUUCGGUUAUAUCUUUUAAAAACAAAUAUAGUUAAAAGAAUCAAAUACUUAUUCUUUAAAUUUAAAAUUUAAAAUUAUUAAUUAUUAAAUUUUUAGUUAAUUACGUUUCCGUACAGUACACGAUGUUAUUAUUAUUAUUAUGGGUACUGGUCGGUAAGGGGAAUAAAACUUUUUUAGAAAAAAAAAAAUACGUGCACGGUGGGAGCGACCGCACGGACGUAUCAAAACAUUCCGUCGAGUGUGAGAUCAACCGUUCAUUUUUUAUGCGGACACCUGUGUGGACAGAUGGACGGAGGGAUGUUUUUUGCUUUUUUAUUGUUCCUGUGCCGGACUUUACGGCCUAAUUUAGCUUUUUUUAAAAAGGGGUUAGCAGAGCCCCAAUCAAGCUACAAAAAUGAUUAGAGUGGUGGGUCAUCACAAUAAUUUGCUUUUCCUCUCUCUCUCUCUCUCUCUCUCUCUCUCUCUCUCUAUAACAAUUUACAAUUUUAGUUCUAGGGUUCCAAAUCUAUGCAAAUCGAUCACUAGAGCUCCAAUAGUAUACGAAUCGAUCAAAAUCAUGAGUUUACCGACUGUCCCUACUGUUUCAAUGAUACACAAAUCGACCGGACUCGUAAGUUUAUCGGCGAUUCCAAGAGUAAGAGGCACAACAAUUAAUGAUUGGUAUUGUAAGUUCGAAUUCUAAUUAUUUCAUAUUUUUAACUAAAUUUAUUUCUAAAAAAAUAAAUGAAGCCAGUAAAAUACUAUCUUUCUUUUUUAAAAAAAAAAGUUUAUGAGAUUGGCUAAGAACUUGAGAGUCGGUACCGAAUAUUCUAAAUUUAGCUGGAAAUGUAAAUCAAUUAGGAUUCGAACUUGAAAUUUUGGAUACUAAUCACUAAACCCUUUGUCACUUAUGUUAGUGACGAUCGGUUCGAAAUCUAGUUAUUUGUUUUGUAUUUUUAGGUCAAUUUAUUUUAAAAAAUAAACAAAACAGAUAAUGGUGUGUAAUAUUUCUCGCAUGAAAAAAAAGUCAUGAACUAAUGAGCUCAAGCCCUAUUUUUUUUGCCUACUCAAGAGUGAUCCAAUUCUCUCAACCUUAGAGCUCUCCUUAAUUUUGCAAUGCACAAGCAAAGAAUCUAGGCCUUGACAUUAAGGAUAGCUUCCUAAACAACAUUUGUUUGUAUAGCAUACAUGUUUUUUUUUUAUUUUUGCUAUUCUGCCAAUAACAAUAUUACUCGUUAUCGUUACAGUAUUAUAAAGAUUAAUUAUCGUAUUUUAUGAAUAAAAAUUUAUUAUCACCCUAUAUUUAACUCUCUCUUUUUCUUUCCUAUUGCUAUCCCAAUAAUUGGCAUAAAAUUACGAUUUAGUUAUCAUAAAAUUUUUAUCAAAUAAUUUAUUAGUGCGUCUUUUGCUGAGGUGGAUUCGCAAUAGGGGACUUUGAGGGAAAAAUUCUCUGUUGCAAUUCUUUUCACAUAAAAUAUAUAGUAAUACCCACACUCGGCCAUAUAUAUAUUUUCAUAUUAUUAAGCAAAAAGAAAAAAAACUAAUUUUCUGAAGAAAUUAUUAUCUUAUCUUAAGACAAAAUUAGUGCAUUAAUUAAAAUGUGCUCGGCCCCACAUGUCGGACUCAGUGGCGCGAGGUGCUUUCCUCUCCGUUCUACGAAAGAGUUAAGACGUGGCGGGCAUUCUCGCCGUCGGGUGGGCCCCGCAUUGCCGCGUGCCACGUCAUGAGACAGCUGGCGACGGAGGCUGUGCCACUUGGCACGAGUUACCAUCAGUCCGUACGGCCCGUCGGUAGGGAUGCAAUUGGAUGCGGGUUGGUGGAUUCCGUUUCGAUCCGUUUGCAAAUGUACCGGUAAGUAAGAAUAAGAAAUAUAAAAAUAUAUAAUUUAUUCUGAAUUCAUUUCCAUCAACAAAGUAAAAAGAGUGAGAGAUGGAUGAUUUUUUUUUUUUUUGAAAUUCAUUCUAAUUCAUUAAAAAUUUGUCAAAAUUUUGUUUUAGUUUCGAUCCGCUUCGAAUAGGACAGUAAGUAAAAGCUAAAAAUAAAAUAAAAAAUAAUCCGCUCUGAAUCCGUGCUGUCCCAACAAAAAAUAAAGGGAAAGAGGAGAAAAUUCUGACUUCGAAUCAGUUCUGUUUGUUUUCUUACUCGUCGGCAAGCCAAAAAAAAAUAUAUAUAUGUAUAAAUUAGGCAAAUCUCAACUAAUCAUAUUUUUUUAAAAAAAAGUUUUAUUUUAUUUCUAAAAAUUAGUUUAAUUAUAUUUUUUUUACUAAAAAAAAUUAUUUAGUUGAGAAAAUAUAAGUGAAGUGAUGCGUCUAGGUAAUCGAAGACUUCUUCGCCUGCGACGUGACCCCCAUCGUAUAACCAAACAAUUACCUACACCCUGUAUAUCCGUACUAGCUAUGCACCACAAUAAAUUUUUUUAUGAUCCGUACAAUAAAAAAAUCCAACCGAAGCUAUGUAUACUAUCUCAAGUACUUAUUAUUAUAUAUAUUAUAUAUGUAAAGUUUUAAAAUUUAAAAAAUUAUUACUAGAAUAUUAACUAAGUAUAAUAACGAUAUUAUAAAAAAAGAUCUAUUAUAUAUAAGCUUUUUGAAUAUCAUAAGCAAUAUUAAGGUAAAUAUCAUAUAUUUCAAAAUGUAUAUACACCGAAUGCAAACAAAUUAAUAAAUUACUUCUGAUCCGUAUAUCUAAGACUUUAAAAAGAACAGCCUACUACCUAAUAUAUGGACUAGUCAAUCACCUCCAUCCGAUAUACACACUUUGGCAUGUACAGAGCGAAAAAUUCUACACUAUCACACUUACAUCACGUCAUUAAUAACAAGCCAAUCAUAUUUCUUCUUUUCAAAUAAAAAUACAAUAAAAAUACCUUUUAUAAUUAUGAUAGAAAAUAUAUUCCUUAAAGGAGAUUUUUGAUUGAUUUAUUACGCCACAUCUCCAAUACAUCCAUUACAUUUUAAAAUUUUUCGUACUGAGCGCAUUGUUAAAAUUUGAACGGAGAUGAAGCAACCGGUCCGUAGACGAUGUGGUGAACCGUGUCCAGGCAAUCUCCUCUGAAACGGGGGUGGUGAUCAAUAAUGACCUUACCCGAGCACUCAAUCACUCGGGAGGAGUUAGGUAAAUUUUAGCUUCUUUUUUUUUUUUCUACUUUUGUUUCCUUUUCUUUUUGGAAGGAGAGGUGUUGGUUCCAUUACUAACUUAUUUUUAAGAAGUUUCAAACAAUUUUUCACAACUUACAGAUUUUAUUUCUAGACUAUUUCUCUCCAACCAUUUUUUUUUGUAAGUUCUGUAGUAUUGCAACUGAUCCUAACUUAUAGCAAGUUCGAUUUUCUUCAUUUGAUAUAAUAGUAAUUUUUUGUAUCCUACUUUUCUUAGUCAAACAUAUGAAAUAACAUAUAUGUUAGCUCUACCUAAAUUAAUCUUUUUAGGCAAUAGAGAGAGAGAGCUAGAAGGAAAAUUAAUCUAAAUAUACUAUUUAUUUAUUGAAAAAGGGGUUAAAAAAAACAGUGAGAGGUCCCAAAGCAUUCAAAGGAUUUCCCUUUUUAAAUUUGCAAUGCAACCCUACUAUUUGUUGAUUAGAUAUAAUAAUAAACAUGUAACACCUACGCUCUCUUUUUUCACAUUAUUGGAGUGCAUGAUGUGUGCUUUUGCUUCAUUAGUUUACGUCAAAACGACAUUGCUCGCGCAUUUAUUAACAAAACCCGACCUUCCGUCGCCAGCACGUCACAAGAUCCCAGAUGUGUAACAUGUGUUACACAAAUAUAAAGUAGAAAAUUAUAAUAAGUAAAAUAAAAGGCCUUGAGAAUAACACUUACUAUUAUACAAACAAUCAAAAUGGUACAAAUAGGUUACCGCACCUCCAAAAACUUAUAACAGAGAUUUAAAAAUCAAAAUCUGACUCUUGGAUAUACUUAAUGAUAUUUAAAAAAGCCUACUUAUGAUAAAAACAAAAAUAUUGAAUGACAAUACCUUGUAAAUUAAACAUCAAUCAUUUCUUUACGAUUAGUUUUUGGGAUAACUUGAUGCAGUGAUGGAUUUACAAAACUUAAAUUUUUUUAAUAUACAGGCUCUGUAGACAUGACAUAUUACAUCAAUUUGAUUAGAUUAUAAUUUUAAAAUAAUUAUCGUCUGAAAAUUAGAAGCAGUGUAUGAGGCGUAUGGAUAAACUGCAUACAUGUAACAAUUUCUGGAAACAAGAUUCUGAACAGUAAAUAAUUUCUCGUGAAAAAUAGUUGAAAACUACGUGACAUAAUGAAUGAGAUUAGGAGAAAAAUUAAUGGGUUUGAGGACACCCUCUCUAUAGUUUCACAUCUCAAUCAACUGAUCCAUCUCUGUGGACUCAGCACUAUGAUUAGAUUAAUGAAUGUGGGGUGCCAACAAGCAAGCGUGUACCUUCGUUAGAAGUUACAGCAACAAUUUGAAACCACCAGAACGAUUGGAUACAUGACGUAUAACCAACUUGACUAACUAGUUUAAGUUAGGUAUCUAACUAAUUGUUCACGUAUUCCUAACAAUGGCUAAUCAAUGAGUUUAAUCUACAAAUAGUGCAAAUAAAAAAAAAAUGAAAACAACAAUAACAUAUAUAACAAACAGGUAGGAAUGUUGUAUUAUUAUGAACAUAAACAAGAAUAAAAUGAAACGUAAGAGUGAUACCAAAUUUUGGUGGGUAAGAGAUUUCCUAAUAGAAAUAUAAGGUGGGUACUUCACAUUAUUUCAAUUUGUUGACGAACCUCGCACAAAAAGUUUGUUCAUUCAACGAAUCAGAUGUAUAGCCCUAAUCAGAGUGGACGUCGUUACCUAAAAGAUAGAUUUUAUAUGCAAUAAACAGGGAAUACUCUAAACUACCCAGGCCACUGACAUGUUGGAGAUCAACCCUAAGAAGGGAACUCUGAGAAUUUACAACUAAUUCUAAUACCAACUUAGAAAAUUGAUCUUAUAAAAAAUGAUCCAAAAUAUUUUUACCAGAUAUAUAGAACGAGGCCAAAAGAGAAACAUUCUACUCUUCAGCUGCAUAGACUAAAUGCCGUCGGCAAAAUUAAAAAAAAUAAUAAUAAAACCAUAAGCUUAAGAGUACAAAACGAUAAUGAUACAGGCAAUAAGAUCAUUUAUGGCAAAUUUUCUUGUUCCCCAGCCUACUGGUGGCUGAGAAGGUUGGUUUCACAACUACUUUUAAGAGAAUCUGCUCCCUUUUAUUGUAUAAUAAAAUAAAAUGUGACAAGCCACUAAGAAAAGGACACUGUUUCUACUGUUUGCUGUUCGUCCACAUAAAAGCAUCCUUUUUCACCAUUAUUCUGCUGGUGCGCCAAAUUACCUCUUAACAACUAUCAAAGAUAGAGUUAGGUAAACAAUCAAGCAAGGGGCUCUAGAAACUACUCCUUGAAUUUGAAGUAAUUGACUCAAACAUUCUGAACCCUUUUGAUCUAACAAAACUCGUUCCGUUUCUUUGGAAAGUUGCUCAAAUAAUUGACAACUAAAAGCUGCUUGAGAAUCAAUACUGUCACGAUUUGACUUGUUAGUAUUAAUUACUCAUUGAACCUAAACCACGGACGCCCACUAGCACUAAUAAUUUGUUGAACCCUAAACCACCGACCCAAAAUACUUAACUCAGUAAUUAUUAUUAGAGUAAGCCCAACUAUUAUUACUAGAACUCUGAUCCCUUAUAUUGUCAAUCAUAAUCCACUUUCCAUCACUAUUCCAUCUAACACUUCCGGAUGGCAAAUUUUGCUCUAAUACCAACUAUACUGAUCCGACCCGCUAGCACUAAUAACUUAGACCCUAAAUGAUCGGACACACAAUGUUUAAGCCUAGUUAUUGUUACUAGAAUCUUUGAUCCCUUAUACUCUUAUAUUUUUCAAUUAUAUUUUUUUUUCAUACGAUGCAAGAUUAUUGGGGCGUUACGAGUACAACCUUUGCAAUAAAAAGUUUUACGACCUACUACAAAGAAACUUCAUAAUACCAGCCUAUCAAAUAGAUUUGAAAAUGUCACAAGUGAAGCUCCAAUGUAGAACUAUGGUCAUGUAGAUAUGUCCAUAACAACAUAGCAGUAUUAUGAAGUCAAAAGAUGGGCAGAAAGAAUACUCACAUGUGUUAGUCAUUGGUAUUUGGUAGUAUAUACAAGCCGACCUUAGUUGAACAGAAACCUCAGAAAUGGUUCUCACACCUACUCAGGUAGGUUCAAUCCACUUCCCCAGCCUGAAAAUAGUAAUAAUGAAAUCAAACUUUAGGGAUAAGGAAUAAACCAUAAAUAAAUCCAAGCAACCUAUUCAUAAACAGAAGUCAUGCUUUCUGUAGGGAUCUGGCACCAACUGGAUAGGGAGAUCAAAUUAAAUUAACAAAACAAUGAGUGAAUUAGUGUAUUUGUCACCUGCUUCGCCAGAGCUACUAUGGCUAACAGCAGAAGCCUCGGAAGGUGGGCCAUCUGUUUCUUGAUUGUUUGUUGGAUCAGCAUGCAGGGUGGGCAUGGCACUCAAGGUAAUGGGUCUCAUUGCCAGGUUCGGAGGGAGAACCGGCUGUUGGUGAUGCUGCUGCUGCUGGAGCAGCAGCAGCUGCUGCAGCCGCAACUGCUGCUGUUCUUGUAUUUGUCGUAGAUUAAACUGGAAAGGAUCCACAGGAGGAAAAAUAGGUGCCUGUUGCAUGUAGUGCUGUACCUGAGGCAUUACCUCAUGUGGCAUCAUCUGUUAAUAAAAAGGAUAUGAUUACAUGAGCUGAUAUAGAAAAUAAGUUUAAUUAUUCGCCGUGAGAUCGUUCAUAUAGUAACCUGAGUAGUAACAGAAGGGGUUUGUGGUUGGGCAUCGGCGAUCUUAACCAAAAACAUCAGAUUCUUUUGAAGCUGGUCUUCGUACCUGACAUUAGUAAAGCCAUAAUAUUAUCACAUGCAGACAUUUACUUGCGUGUGCACGCGCGUGUGCAUCGCACUUGUGUGUUUUGGCCGGAAUGUAAGAAAUUAUGCAAUGAAUUUCAUGAUUUCUCUGUACCCUGAAUUUUGAGAACCUAUGUUUCACCCCAUCGACCGGCGAGCAAAUUGAUGAACUGUCUUAGUUUAAGGGGUAAUACAUGUUUUAAUACUACACGGGACAAAGUAGAAAACCACAAUAUUUGUAGGAUGUUUCCAGCAAUGUAGAGCUUUUUACUUUGAAGUCAUAAUUAUUAGUGCAUACAUUCAUUUAGGUCAUCAGAUCAAGAUGCACUCAUCUAAACCUCUACAAGAUGGUGAUUGGAGAUUCCAAACGAGUAUCACAUAAAUUGGCGGAAGUUCACAAAGCAUCAACAUUCUUAGUUGACAUAACAAAUCACUCCAAACUUUUCUUUGAGUAGACAGACUAAUGCAAUAUAUAUGAAAUUAAGAUCCACCAGACAACAACGAAAAUAGAAGUCCCUCGUUUAAUCAAAAGCAAGUGGUCUCAUCAGAAAUGAAAAUACAUCUGAAUAGAUGUGCGCACUGAAAAACACUUUCGCUAAUCACAUGUCCAAUUCUAAUCAUACAGAAAAGCUGGUAGAAACUCAAUGUUGAAAUCAAUUCUUCCUCAUAAUCCUUGCAUCACGAAUGACAAGUAUCAUUAAGCAGUCAAUUCACACACUACAUAAUUCAUAAUUGAUGAUCCAAUUGAGCACCAUUCUCUACCAUAUGAUAAAUAUAAGAUGCAACAGAGCAAAAGAAUAACCCCCAAAUAAAAAAGAACCGAAUUCUAGUAUAAUAGCUACUCACUGAGCAGAUUCAGACAACUUUCCCUGGUUCCGACAGUCCAAUAUCGCCCAAAUCAGCUGUUUGUUUUCCUCCAAAUACUGCAUGAUAAGAGGAAAGCAAUCACCACAAUUUUCUUUUUCCUUUUUUUUCCCUUGGCUAGAGUAAAGAAGCAAAAUAUGGAAACAAAUGCUACGAAUAAUCGACCCUGAUUAACUACAAGAGAAAGUACAUAUUCAAAGACAUUUUGUAGAUAAAAGAUCCUUGAAUUUCGCCAGAUACGAAAUUGUAGCUUAGCAUAAUAGGAACUAGAAUUCACACUAACUAAUCAAAUUUAAUAGUCUACGAAGGGUAAUUCAACCCCCAAUCUACAAAGGGUAAUUCAACCCCCAACCUAAUUCACGUGAAUUCAUUGAUUUGGAAAUCCAUUCCAAUUCUAUUUCAAUUUGGUACGAAACAGAGUGUAGUAACCUUAUAAUGCGUCCUAUACAUUCUAAUGCUUUCAUAUUAAAAUUAACACGCGCUUCAUAAUCAUAUAAUUUAUACAUUGUUUCUACUAAUCGGUAGUCAUAAACCCUAAUUAUUUCAAAAGAACACACAAUUGAGGUCGUAAAUCAUUACUAAAAGAUUACACACAGAUGAUGGUGAUGCUCAUGCUGGUCACAUCAAAACUAUAUCCGUGCCGACAACAAUUAAAUCCAUGUAAAACCGAGCUAAAACCUCUACAAUCCACUUCAGUGUAAACUAAAGCUACAAAACAAACAAAUUUGAUUAUAAAAAAAAAAAAAACACAAACCAAUCGAUCGAUUGCGCGAUUAUAUACCGAUUAGGUUUCGGGAAAAGUGAGUGCGAUUCACUGUGGAAAGAUCGAAUUCGAGAGGAACCCUAGGCGGGAAUUAAGGAGAUGAGGACGAGUUUGCAUUUUGAAUCACCUUUUGAAUCUGAUCGGUGGUGAUGUUCAUCGUCGGACGCUGCAUCUCUCUCUCUCUCUCUCUCUCUCUAUUUCUCUCUCUUUGUUGGAGUGAAAAAGUAGCAGGGCAAAAAUUAAGAACAAAAGGGAGGGAAACGGCGCGUUCAGAGGGCACAGAUUUUCGCCGUGGACCUGGUCUACCACGUCAACUAUCUACUUCAUCAGUGGCAUUUUUUUUUUUUUUGUCAAAGGAAAAAUAAUGAUAUUUUCCACUUUAUCUUUCUAUGCGAUCUAAUAACUAUAUAGUAUUUAUAUUUUUAAAUUUUCGUUUGAGGUGAGAGUCGAAUCCGGACCGCACUCGUAGUCCAUUUUAAGUGAGUAUCGAAUUCAUAGCAUCUACGCAGGUGUGGAGUAUACCUAUCAACUAUCCAUCACAUUUUCACUUUCUAGUGUUUUUUCUUUUUUGAGAGAUAGGUAGCACGCUACUCUUUUCGUUUAUUUCACUUAGAAAUAAACUUAGCUGAAAAUGUAAAUCAACUAGGAUUCGAACUUGGGUCUCGGGUACCAACCACCAAGCCCUUUGCCACUUGCUCUAGGGACGGUCUAUCAUUUUCUAGUGUUACACUAUCUAACUUAAUACAUUUAUAAUAUUUUUUACAAAAUAAUUUCAAUAAAAUUAUAAGAUUAUUAUAUAAUAAAAUUAAAAGUAUAUUAAAAUUCGGGUGGCUAUACAUAUUUUUUCCCUACGAGGCCCAAGUCCAACAAGAUAUAGAAAAAAUAAAAGCCCAAAUCGAUAACGAACACAUGGGGAGAGCUAUGGGAAAUGGAAAUGUUGGCUCGGCCUAAUAAUAUUGGCCCAUUUGUGUGGUAAGAACUGUGAUCUCAUUGGCUGGCUCGACCUGGUUCACUGGACCGAGCCAAUCAGAAUGUAACACGCAGUAGUAACGUACUCAUGCGAUGAUUUUUAUUAAUAUUUUCACUUUUUAAAAUUUUAUAUUUGGAAAAUUAAUUGCAAGCACCAUUGGAUUAUAUCCGUUAUUUUAUUUGAAAAUUUCAAAGUAUUAAUUGGAAUGAAUGAUGUGCAUUUUGGAAAAGGUAUAAGAAGUAAACACCAAAGCAUUUUGAUUGUGAAAAUAAAGAAAACCUUGCAACUAAAUAGAAUAUUUAAACAAUAAGGUGACGAAUGCUGAAAAUAGGUUGCAAAAUUACUGGAUAAAAUUUACACUGCACGGCCGCGUAGCCUAUUCGGGAAACUAUUUUAACCUAAAUUACCGAACCGAAUUGGCUCAUUUCAUUUGGAUUCAUUACGGUUCUAUAAACAAUUUGGUUCAGAUCGAAUUGCCUUUGAAAUUAAGAAGUUUUAAAAAAUUGUACAAACUGAAUUAACCAAAAUUUUUUUAAUAGUUUAUUAUAUAUCAGUCCUAAUAUUUUGAAAAAAAAAAAAUAUUAAUCACUUCAACACAAUCAAAUACUUAGAGACUUUAACUCUUAUUAUGUUCAAUUUAAAGAUUUUGGUAGAAAAUUAAUCCUACCUAUAAACCUAUAUCUUACUUUUAGUAAUUUAAUAAAUUUUAAUAUAGAUCGAUUAUAUUUAUAAUAAAAAAAAAUACUGUGAAAAUUAAAUCGACCGAACCGAACAGAACCCGGUGACCGCGUGCGCUGCGCGGCUACUGCCACGGCCUAACUAAUUCUCGACCCUAUUUAAACAAGAGAUUCACACAAACGACCCACCACGACCACUUAUAACUUAUAACCACCUCAAAACCCUCCCCUCCCCUCCUUUCCUCAGAAUAAGGAGAAGCAGUAAAAAAAAUUAAUUAAUUAAUUAAUUAUUUCCUAUUCUUUUCAUAUCUCUCUACAUUUUAUUCGGUUACAUUAUCAUUCCCACGCUCUCGAGGUAGAGGUAGAGAGGGAAGAGCACACACGCACGCGCCGCGCCCUCCCUCCGCCUCGACCGCCACGAUGUCGUCCGCCAUCGACGACGGCAUCGAGGUCAACCGGAAGCCGGGGAGGAAGAACCUCGUGAUCGCCGGCUCCUCGGCCGCAGUUCUCAUGCUCCUCGUCGUCGGCACCGUCGCCACCGUUCUGAACCAGUCCGCCGAAGAGUCCGGCGGCGUCUCCGCCCGGUCGAUGCACUCGACGUCCAAGUCCGUCCAGAUGAUCUGCGCCUCCACCGACUACCGCCAGACGUGCGAGUCCAGUCUGUCGAAGGCCGUCAACUCCAGCAGCGACAACGACCCGAAGGCGAUCCUCCACGCGGCCGUCUCCGUCGUCGUCGACGAGGUCGGGAAGGCCUUCGCCCACUCCCGCCUUCUCGACAGCAACAACAGCCGCGUCAAGUCGGCCGUCCAGGACUGCCUGACGCUCUUCGACGACUGCAAGUACGACCUGAAGCGGUCGCUGGAGAGCAUCAUCGCGCACGCCGCCACCGACCACCUGUCGAAGCGGUCGCACGACCUCGAGACGUGGCUCAGCGCCGUGAUCUCGUUCGAGGAGGCGUGCGUCGACGGGUUCCCGGAGGGGGAGCUGAAGGCGAAGAUGAAGGCGGCGAUGAAGAAGGCCAGGGAGCUGUCAAGCAACGCGGUCGCCAUCAUCGGGCAGGUGUCGAGCUUCCUGUCCAUGCUCGACAUCCCCGGGCUGAGCGGCCGCCGCCGCCGCCUUUUGACGGCGCAGAAGGAGCCCGCGCUUGCAGCGGCCGCAGCAGGUCUUAAGGAGGACGGGCUCCCGCAAUGGAUGUCGAGCACCGAACGGAGGGUUCUCAAAUCGCACCAUAAGCUCAAGGUCAAGCCGAAUGCCACGGUCGCGAAAGACGGCACCGGCGACUUCGCCACCAUUUCCGCGGCUUUGGACGCGAUGCCGAGCGAAUACAAAGGAAGGUCGGUACAUGCAUGCAAUAUUGUUAAUUAAGCUAGCUGAUUAAUUUAUAUAUGCACGAUUACAUGUUUGGGAUUAAUACAUGUAACAGGUACGUGAUCUACGUGAAAGAGGGGAUAUACGAGGAGACCGUCAAUGUGACGAAGAAGAUGGCUAAUGUGACCAUGUAUGGGGAUGGCUCGAAAAAGUCGAUCAUAACGGGAAGCAAGAACUUCGUGGACGGCACCAGAACCUGGCAAACCGCAACAUUCUGUGAGCGCAUAUAAUUGACUAAAACUGAAUUUUGUUCACUUUUCGCUUGAUUUAGUAUCUGAUCCUCGGUGCUUUAUGCACGCCGCAUGCAGCCGUCUCCGGCGACGGCUUCAUCGCGAUCCGGCUCGGGUUCCGCAACACGGCGGGCGCGGUCAAGCACCAGGCGGUGGCGCUACGCGUGAAGGCGGACCGCAGCAUCUUCCUCAACUGCCGGAUGGAGGGCUACCAGGACACGCUCUACGCGCAGGCCUACCGGCAGUUCUAUCGGGGCUGCGUCAUCUCGGGCACGGUCGACUUCAUCUUCGGUGACGCCUCGGCUGUGUUCCAGAACUGCAUCAUCGUCGUCCGCCGCCCCCUCGACAACCAGCAGAACAUCGUGACCGCCCACGGCCGCGUCGACCGGCAGCAGAAGACGGGCUUCGUCAUCCAGCGCUGCCGCAUACUCCCCGAGCAGGGCCUGACGGAGGCGGCGGCACACAAGGCCAACGUGCGCAGCUACCUCGGCCGGCCGUGGAAGGAGUUUGCGAGGACGGUCGUGAUGGAGUCGCACAUCGGCGGCUUCAUCCACCCGGACGGCUACAUGCCGUGGGAGGGCGAAUUCGCGCUGUCGACGUUGUAUUACGCCGAGUACAAUAACUUCGGCGGCGGAUCGAACGUGUCGACGCGCGUCCCGUGGCCGGGGUUCCACGUCAUAAGCCGGAGAGAGGCCGAGCGCUUCACCGUCGGCAACUUCCUCUAUGGCGCCGAUUGGAUUCCGGCCACCGGCGCGCCGUUUCGCCUCGGCAUGUACACGCGCGAAUGAGAGCACUUCAAUUUUUUUGUCUAGAGAGUAAAUUGACAAGGGAGGAAUAAAAGGGCGGGAGUUCUCGUUUAUAAAAUGGAUAUAUAUAUAUAUUUAUAUAUGUGCGUGUGUGUGUGUGUGUUAAAGGAGGGCGUAAUAGAUUUUUGUUUUGAUAGCAAUUAAGAAAAAAUGAAAAGAAAAAAAGAUUGUUUUCCUUUUCUUUUGCCUUAAAAUUCCUGAUUUAAUUUAUCAUACUCAAUGUUAAUUACACUCCUGAAAAGCUUUUAAAUCUCUUAGACCAUGAUUAUCAGUGACAAUUCUUAAAUCUCCUAGACCAAGCAAGCAGCUGAGUUUCAAUAGGGUUAUAAAACCUUGUCUCUUGUAUUUACUAAUAGAGGUCAAAUCAUUUAUUAUUUAUUAAUAAAGCUUCAUAAUUUGAUUUUACACAUUAUAAGAGUAAUUAAUGCUGUUAGUAUGGUAAAGUUAUAUUCAAACAUGUCAUCAGUUAGCUAUCAAAUUCGAAUACCUGAACCACUAAUUAUUAUCGGCUGGUAGGCUAGUAUUCUGUAUAUGUGACGGAAAUCGUAUUAGAUCAAAUCACAAUCAAGAUUCGAGUGCUUUGUACAUACCUAUGUGCUUUAAAUGAAUUGGUUGGUUCCUUCCUAAUAGCUCGGGCUUUUGAAACUAAUUUUCAAGAAUAACUCAACAAGUGGUAUCAAAGCGGGCCAUGGGUUUAAUUGUCAGGUGACGCAACUUGUGCAGGGUACUGAAAGGAUUGUUGGCAAGUAGACGAGCAGCCUAUUGAGAUCCGUCAGCACUGUAUCUAAAGACUUUAAAUGAAUUGGUUUCAUACUUUCUAAUAGCUUGUGUUUUUGAAAUUAUGGUUAAUUAGCCCCAAUAAUCGAACACUAAUAUUAUGUCAUAUUGUGAAAAACUAAACUCAUCUUAAUCAAUGAUUUUUGGGCACGUGCUCACGUAACCAUAGCUUUACUCCAUAUAAUAAAUUACUGAUUAAUAAGAGUUAAACUUUUUGUUUGUUUCAUGCCUCAUUAACACCCUACUUGUGCUCAUCAUGUUAACCAACCUCCUUGGUUCUUUUAAUGCAAAUAGUACUUGCACUAGCUUUUCUUGUUAUUAGAAACAUAGUACACACACUCCUCACACUCAAUUUGUUAAAAGUAUGAAAAAUCUUCUCCAAGAUAUCUCGAAGCUUCGAAUCUUCUUUUUUUUGCAUGAAACCAUUGAUUGCUUCAUCAACUUCCACACAUAGUUAACCUAUAAAACAAAUUAACUAUUAAGUUUAAGAAAAAAAAUUAUUCCAAAUAAAGAGUUUAAAGCAAAUGAAAUUUAAAAUGUUCUUUAAUUCAUCAAAUCCGAGCUCAUGAACAAAGGUUACUGGCUCACGAAAAACCAGUCAAAAGGAGGCUAUGUUAUUUGCGUGAUCUAGGUAAUUAUAUCAACACAUGGAAAGUUAUAUGAGUUGUUAAAAUGAUAAGUAAUUUUUGACUGUGAACAGUAGUUUCAUGUGUGAAUUAACAUUUAAUUAUGAAUCUAUACAGGUUUUAGCAUCACCAACAAGCUAAAUCAUGAGUUUUAAGCUUCAAAGGGUCAUCUUGUCGACUUGUUUUGUCGCUUACCUUAAUGAGACAAAUGGCGCCAUAAGACUAGCUAAGUGUGCGUUUGUCCUAAAUGUUGAAAUAGUUUUUCUAUACGCCACUCUCGUGUUUGGCAAACAAAAUUUCAGUAUUACUGGUACGAAGAUUCAUUUCAACAUUCCCACAAAACUGAUUUGUUUGCUACAAUUAGUAAAUUUUUAUUUAAAAGAGAGAAACUAUAUUUUUAUUGAACAACUCGAAUCAUAGAGGAAGUUUUUUUUUUUAGAGAGAGAUAGGUAGCAUGCUACUCGCUUCGUUUAUUUAUUUUAAAAUUAAACUUAGCUGGAAAUGUGAAUCAAUUAGGAUUCAAACUUGGAAUCUCGAAUACCAACAACCAAAUCCUUUGCCACUUUCACCGGGAGCAGUUGUUAUCAUACAAGAAGUAAUUAAUUGAAUAUUCUUAUAUAUCUAUCACUAAACCAAUGAAAUGCUUAGUGGUCAAAGACUCAAAGCCACUAUCCCCAAAGGAGAGGAUAAUGCUAAUCUUUUUGAAGUCAACAAGUUCUAAUUAACACAGUGGCUAUGAGCUAAGAUUAGGGGGAACAUUGUAGAUUACUUAAAGAUGAAAAACCAUAACAGAAUCUCUAUGGGGCACAGCAGUAGAUAUGAGCUUUAAGUAGCUUUAAAGGACUCUUAUUUGCACUUCUUAAAAGCCCUUUUUUCCCACAGCAAAAGCAAGCAACAUUAGUGGCCACUGCCUCUAAUGGACAACAGUGCAGUUGUGCCACAGAACAAGCUGAGCUAUUUGCUGCUGCUUUUCUCAGAAGCAGAUCUACUCACUCCUGACUCACCAAAGUCCCCCAAAACUACCAGAAGCAACCAUAGAAGAGAUCCCCACAUUGAUUCUAAUGGCUAUGACUUUAAAGAAGCUCUGUCCUUGUUAGUGCUUCAGUGGAAGCCAUGUACUCUCCUCCCAAAGCAAAGUGCCUGCUUUUUUAUCCAGCUGAGCAAGCAAAAGAUUCACUGGAACAGGAAACCCAAAAAAGAAAAAAAAAAAAAGAAAAGAAAAGAAGAGAUUUUAAGCUCAUUCUACUUCAGAAAAUACACCCAAUUCUCCAAAUUUUUUUAUCUGAACAAUACACACAGUAGUUGUUGUUCGAAUUGCUGUCUUAAAAAGGUUGAAAAUUUGAUCUUCGCUUAAAUUAAAGAUCACUAAAUUGCAGCAGCAAAGAAGAAGAAUUUUUUUUAAAGAUGCUCAGCAACAAAUGAAGGAUUUACCAUUCGAAAUCAAACCAGAACAAAUCAAAAGAUACAACUUUUGAACAAAGAUUUUUUAAAUCAAACUCUACACAAUCGAAACAACUCAAACAACAGCUUCCAAUCUGGGCUCAAAAGGGAACGCACAAACGAACUCCUUCGCCUCCCCAUCGACGCGACACUUGGGUAUCUCCACCCACUGAUCCCUCCCCAGAUCAUAGACCACACAGCUGCUAAAAUCCCCCGAGUUUAAGCAUGUAAAAAUCCAAUCUUUGAAGCCCACACAGUUUAUAUCCACUUUUUUACCGAAAAAUUCGUGGGACAUCGAGGGGGGCAUCGCCGCCACCUGGUGCCACGUCAUCGUCUCCCUCGCGAACCUCCACACGCGCAAGCUCGCGGUCUCGAGGAACUCGGAGAGCACAAUUGCGCAGAGCUCCCCCCGGAACAGGGCGAUGUCGAUGGAGUACUCGUAGUACGCGGGGAGGAGGCGCGGGUGCUCGAAAAAGGACCUUUUUGUGAGAUUGCACCCCACCACGGUCCCCGAGUGGCUGAGGAAGUACACGACGUCGUCCCCGUUCUCGGUGGCGAAAACGGAGGAGUACUGCUUGCAGGGGCUUCGCUGCAUAUUGGCCGCGACCACGUCCCCUGUUUUGGAGAGGAAGUAAACGGGCUCGUCCCCGGGGACCUGGGGCUCGGAGGAGCCCGUGGGUUUGUGGGGGGAUAAGGGGAUCUCCUCGCCCCAGGCGUCGGUUUGGGAGUCGAAAACCCUAGAGGCGAGGUGGGGGGAGGCGCCGUAGACGAGGACGAGGUGGUACGAGGAAGGGUCGUGGGGGGAGGAGGGCGAGGCCAUGGCGAUGGCGAGGAGGUCGGGGGGGUCGAAAGGUGGGAUUUUGCGGGAGGAUCCGGUGACGGGGUUGGAGACGGUGAGUUCUCCGGAGGAGGGGGAGCGGAGGCAAACGAAGCCGCGGGAGGAGGCGACGGGGAUGGAAGGUGGUGGUGGGGAGGAGGGUUCAUGGCGCGUGGGGGGGGGAGAGCGGGAGGAGGACGGAGGACCAAUAGCCAGGCAGGAGGAGUCGAGGAAGAGGGAGCGUGGGAGCGGGUGGAUUGAAGAGAGAAGAGGGCCGAGGGGACUGCGGAGCAGCGAGAGAAGAAGGAGGAGCAAGCGAAGAGCAAAGGAGCGCCAAACCGCUUGGAGACCGCGGGCCGGAGGGAAGAAGGCGGAGGGAGAGCGCGCCAAGCAACCACUCGACACGAAAGAAAAAAUGGAUCGCGCCAGAGCAUCUGUGCCAUCAUCAGAAGCUAGCUAGACUAGAAGACAUGGAUAUAAAGGUAGAUAAUCCUCUUCUAACCACGACGGGUGCGUUCCUGUUUUGAGUACCAAUCUCCCACUUUCUCUUUUGUCUUUUGUUUCUGUUUCGUUUCUUUGGAUGGAAAAGAGAGAGGAGAGAGGAGAGAGGAGAACCAGUUAAAAAUUCAAGGAAUUUGAGAAAUUAGUGAUUGGUGGUGGUGUGCAACUGUGCAAAUUUGUGUGUAUAUAUAUAUAUAUAUAUAAUAAUCAGGGGAGAUGAUCACUGGGGAGAGGGAAUUGGAUAUGGUGCGCGAAAACUAAAGCAGUUUUUUUUGGUUUUUUUUUUUUAAAAAAAAGGAAUUGUUUUGUGCAAAAGAACAGUUCUCAGAGAAGCACUUUGAUGUGAGAAGAGAUUGUGAAAGGAAGUGCUUUUUCAGAACAAUUAGCAGCAUCUAUAGUUUCUUGGGAAAUUUCUAAGAAACGAAGCCAAAAAAAAAAAGUCACCCAUCUUCUAGGCCAAAACCCACUAAUUCCGACCAAAACAGAAGAGUUUCAUGCUACGAAAAAAAAAAAAAAAAAAUCAACUUUUUUCUGCUAAAAUCAUACAGGGUGAGAAAUCAGAAUCAGAAACAAAUUGACCAAAAAAAGGACUCCUUUUUAACCGAGAAAAAAACCACUUUUAUUACAUAAAUUUCCCAUUUUUCCCACCCCACAUAACCCAUCAAGCCAAAAUCCACCCAAAAAGAAAGAAAAAGAACAAAACCCCAGAAACAAAACAUACAACAAAAGGCCCUUAAAAGCUCCCACCGUAUAUACGAGCAGAGAGGGGAGGAGGGGAGAGGAGAGAAAUGCACCUUAUUAUGUGUUGGAUCCUCUGCAGCUCACAAGUGGUGGCAACGAAGAGGAACAAAGUAAAGUGCGCGCGCGUUGGGAACUCUCCCACUCCCUUCUUUUGUAAUGGUGAGAAGAAGAAGAAGAAGAAGAAGAAGAAAAAGAAGAAGAGGUAGAGAGAGAGAAAGAGAGAGAGAGAGAGAGAGAGGAAACUUCGUGGGGGAGCUCUUUUUGUAUGCGUUGACAGAGAGGAGAGGAGAGGAGAGGAGAGGAGAGCAGUGGGGGCUUGUGUUGUGUGAGUGUGUGGGGGUGUGAGGGAAAAGAUAGUUUAUAUAUAGAGGGGAUAGAGAGAGAGAGGAGCCCAAAAUUUAAAGAGAGAGAGAGAUGUAUAUAGUAAGGUUAAUUGCAUGGAUAUUUUCAUAAACGUAUAGAAUAGUAAAAAUAUUUUAACAAAAUUUAACUUUUUAUAUUUAUUUUUUAAAAAAUUUUAAUAUUUUAAAAAUAUAUUUGUGCUGAUAGGAUCCGUUAGAAAAAUACAUUAAUCAUAGAUAAAUUACUUUAACUCUCAUCAAUAAAUGAGAUAAAUUGAUCGUUUUACUCUUCUUAUAUUAUUUGUAAUGUUAAAAAAGAAAAAGAGAUGUAUAUAGUAAGGUUAAUUGCAUGGAUAUUUUCAUAAACGUUUCGAAUAGUAAAAAUAUUUUAACAAAAUUUAAUUUUUUAUAUUUAUUUUUCUAAAAAUUUUAAUAUUUUAAAAUAUAUUUUUACUAGUAGGAUCCAUUAGAAAAAUACAAUUAAUCAUAGGAGAUAAAUUGAUCUUUUUACUUUUCUUAUAUUAUUUGUGAUGUUAAAAAAGAAAAAAAUGACCGUUCAAAAUUUGUUAAAGAAUAUUUUUGUAUAAUUCUAAUAAUUGGAAAUUUUGAAGAAACAUAUUUGUAAUGACAAAAAUAUUAUUUUACUUAUCUUUUGCUAACGGUAACAAAUUAUAGAGGCAAAUAUGAAUAUUAUUAGAUUUUUAUAAGAAUAAAUAUGAAAAAUUAAACUUUGUAGGAAUAUAUUUAUUAUUUAAUAUAUUUACAAUAAGAAGUAUGUAUAAAAUUAAUUCUCUAUAGUAAUAAGAUAAUAAUAAAAUAACAUAAAAAUUUAUCUAAACUAUAAACCAUUUUGAUUUAACUUUUUAUUUCUUAAUUUAUUUAACUUGGUGAGUUAAUUACACUCUCGCUUCAAAAUUAAAAUUAUUUAUUUAUUUUUAAAAAUUUAUAUUUGUGAGAAUUAUGUUAAAUAUAUUAAUUAAAUUUAUAAAAAUAAAUAAUAUAUAAUUUUUUAAAAAAAUAUAAUUGACUAAUUCAAAUCAAAUGAAGUACAAUAAUAUAUAUAGUAAAAUUAAAAUUUUUUAAAAAAGGGCCAAUUCAAAAUGAUUAAUGCUUCUGAUAAGUUUGCCACCUAUUUUUCUACUAGAAAUAACAGUAGAGAGAUGUGCAGUGGCUUAGAGAGAGAGAGAGAGAGAGAGAGGGCUAGGGCUUAGAGAGAGAGAGGGCCAUGUGACUAGCUGCUGACACUGAUAUUUUUUUAAUAAAAUUCAAUAGUUAGAUCAUAUUUUUCUUCAACUUUUUAAAUUGUUAUGGUUUUAUAUUUCAAACUUUUAUGAUUAUAAUAAUUAAGUUUUUUAGUUUAAAUUUAGUCAAUUAUAUAAUAAUGUGUCGCUGAUAUAAUAGUAAUAUACCUGAUUGAUGAUAAUAUUACACUAAUUAAGAUAUUACACUAGUUUUGUAUUAAUGACAUAUUAGUAAUCGAUUAGCAAAAUUAGAUUGUAAAACUUAUUUAAAAUAACUUAAAAAGUUUGAGGAUUAAAAUAUCCGUCACUAACUCAUAGUUUGAGAACCAGAAGUUAAAUUUAGUCUAAUUUAAAUUUAAUAGUAAGAGACAGAGGAGAGUGUUAAGUUUCAUUGAAUAAAGUUGAUAAACAACUAUUAAUAGCUUUUUAAAUUAAAUCUUUCUAUAAAAUUGUAAGUUUAACUUUAUAUUUGAAGUGAGAAUCUAGAUCAAACAAAGUAUGUAAUUUAUUCCAAUAAAUAUUUUUUAAAAAUCUGUUAGUAUUUAAAAUAUCCGUAUAACACUAACGGCUUUGGAUUCAAACUUGUAAACAUUUUUUUCAAUUAAAAAAAAAAUGUAUAUGUGAGCUUGGUACAUUUUUAACUUAGUUUGGUACCUUAUAUUAAAAAUAACAACAUUUCACACCAUCUAUGAAAAACCUUUUUUUUAUUUUUUUUAAAAAAAGUUCUCGUAAGUGUUCACUUUGUAGGCCACUCGCACGCGGGGGCAUUACACGUGCGAGGUGCCCAAAGCUAAAGCAUAAGCUUCCCCCCACUUUUUUUUCUUUUCUUUUUUUUUAUUUUUGGGGAAAUGAGAACCCAAAUGUUUGUAGGGGAUAUGUUAAUUGUAGUGUAGCUUUUAAAAUGGAGGGAGAGGAACAAAGGAAUAAUCCCAAGCACACUAGCAAGUAAACAACUAAAUACGAAGGUUUGACCUUGAUGAAGGGAAUCACAACACGAAUUACGAGGACAAUAAUUUUUUUUUAUUUUUUAUUUUUUAAAGUUAUGAGCAUGCACAUGAAUGGGACCAAACCAAACCAAACCAAACCAAACCAAAUAUUUUUAAAAUUAAUAAUUUAAUGCAUCCUCCCCUCUAACUUUUGCUUUUAGACCCGAACCUGAACAUGGUUUUGUAGAUCUAGGAUAGAAUGUUAUGAAAUGCUCCCCCAAUUAAUCCUGGUGUUGUGGUGGGCAUUCACUUGGUAAGUAUCCAUAUGUUUUGUUACUUAAAAAAUAUAUAUAUAGAGAGAGAGUACGUCUCCCGUAUUUUAAAAGUACGGAGGUCUUCGUGCUCGUAAGUUAUUUUUUUUAUCGAAUAUUUGAUUCGACGAUCGGUUCCGUUAAGCAUAAUCUCGAUCGACUCCGUUAAACAUAAUCUAUGUUAUUGAAACUAUCUAAAAACUAAAUUUUAUAAUUUUUCGAUAUCAUUUACCAAGCGAUCAUAGGAUCUCAAAAAUAAUUAUUUUAAUGACCGAUGUAGCAUGUUUUUAAAUUCAAUUGGGUAGAAGUAUCCAAAUUACAUGAAAAUUUAAUAGAAAAUUUUACUAAACAUCAAGAGUAAGAAUAAUAGUUUCAAUUUGAAAUUUGAGUCUUUUAUCACUAUUUUUUAUGAGCUUUUUAUUUUCAACCGUUCAUUUUGAGGCUACUCGUUUACUAGGCAAAUAAUGUCAAAAAAUUAUGAAAUUUGAUUUCUAAAUAGUUACAAUAGCAUACAUCAUAUCUAACAGAACCAAUCGCCGAAUCGGAUGUCCUAUCAACAAAAACAACUUAUAAAUACGGAGGCCUCCGUACUUUCAAAAAUAUAGGAGCCUAGCCCUAUAUAUAUAUAUAUAUAUAUAUAUAUAUAUAUAUAUAUAUAUAUAUAUAUAUAUAUAUAUAUAUAGAGAGAGAGAGAGAGUGAGNUAUGGAGGCCUCCGUGCUACCAAGUUGUUUCCAAUGAUGCAACUUCCAAAUCGACGAUUGGUUCUGUUAGACUUGAUCUAUACUAUUGAAAAUAUUUGAAAACUAAAUUUCAUAAGUUUUCGGUAUCAUUUACCUAUCAAAUGAGUAGUAUAAAAAUGAAUUGCCGAAAAUAAAAAUCUCAUAAAAAAUGAUGAUAAAAGGUUUGAAUUUAAGAUCAGAGGUGCUAAUCUUACAAUAAAUAUUAUAUAAAAAUUUCAUCAGAUUUGGAUUGUUUUAAACCGUUAAAUUGACAAACACAUCACAUCUACCAUUAAAAUUGUCAAUUUUAAGACCUUUUGAUCACUAGCCAAAUAAUGCCGAAAAAUUACGAAAUUUAGUUUCCAAAUACUUUUAAUAGUGUAAAUCAAGUCUAACAGAGCCGAUCAUAGAUUUGGAUGCCGCAUCAUUGGAAACGACUUAGUAGCACGGAAGCCUCUGUGCUACCGAUAGUAUACCAGCCUAGCUUUAUUUAUACACACGGAGACUAUUUCUAAAUCAUUUCUUGCCGAUUUGAUGAAUCGCACAUGUAUUUCUCUUAGUUUUAAUGAUUUUAGAUUUACGCAUCAACUAGAGAUUUUACAAAAUUAAUUGUAGUUCGAAUAUUUUUUUAUUUUUUUAUUUAUAUAACAAGUAUGGUGAGGUUCGAACUACAAUUUAUUGAUCGUAAGCACUAACCAAUUAUUCUAAAAAUACGUGAUAAUAGAAGGGUGCACUCAUUGCAUUUAAGAGCUCAACCACAGUACUUACGGGUUUCGAUCUGACUUAACUCACCUAGACGGUAGGUCUAUUGUUGGACCUCUAACCGUUAGGUCUCUUGUAGACUGCAGUGCCGCUCAACUUAUUAGAUUCUUUCAAUUCAACUUAUUAGUCUUCUGAACGAAUUGUCACGUAGCAGAAAAUUAGAACUAUUUUAGUCUAAUAAUAAAUAACCAAUAUUAUUAAAUUAGAUGAAAUAGCUAAUUUUCUCUAAAAGCUUCUGUUCUACUAUAGUGCAAUUUAUCUACCUGAGCGGAGCUAAAUACGACCCUAAUUAACAUAUUUACCUAACUUACUAAUUAUGCAAGAAACAUGAAAAAAAAAAAAAUAAUUAGCAACAUUUUUUUUCGUUGUUAUUAUUGUUUGCAUGCAUCAUUGCAUGCAAGCAAAAUUCUUUUGAACCAAACUUGAUGCCAUCUGUAGAACAAAGUUAAUAGGUUAGUCUUAGAUUAGAUACUCCAUUCAUUUAGAAAUACAAUAAUUAAUAUACUAAUAUAGGCCCCAAUAAGAUAUGAUAAAGCGAAGACCAAAUACAAAAGGAAACAAAAGGAAACAAACAAAGGAACGAAAAAAGAGAGAGAGAGAGAUGGAGAGGUAGAGAGAGAAAAAGAAAAGGUGUAAUGUUCACUGAUGCGCACGCAUAGGUACCAUGUCAAAGCCUCAAAGAGAGAGUUUUGUAGAGAGAGAGAGAGAUAAGGAUAGAGAGAGAAAGAGCUGACCUUUUGUAAAGCAAAAGCCAACAACACUUAACAUUACAGAUACAAUACACUACCACUACUGCUACUCUUCUUUGUCACUCUCUCUCUCUCUCUCCCCCUCUCUUUCUCUCUAAAUGUGGUCUUAGAUCUCUUCUCCUCGUUGAGAGAAUCUUCUUCUCUCUCUCUCUCUCUAUACGUAUGUUUUUUUUUUAUUUUUCUCUCUCCCUCUACAUGGUGUCUCGUGGGGGAUGUCGCAUCAUGUAGCUUUUGCUUUAGCACAAGUCAAAUGGGUGGGGUUGGAGAGAGAAAAAUAUUAGAGAGAAUAUGAGGAAGAAUAUAUUUAUUAUUAUAUUUUAUUAUAUUUUAUAUUUAAUAUUUAAUGGGAGGUAGUAAACAUUAAAAACAAAUGUGGAGAGGGGUGUGGUUUGGGUCAUUGGGUGAGAAAAAGCCGUUAAUUCCGAUGUCUUUUUCUUGAGGAAGUGGGUUUUUCUCCUGCAGUGAUUGUGAGAUAUAUGUUCAUUUUUUAAAAAUAUUGCAUGCACCCGGUGUACAAUACAUAUAAUACUAUAAAAUAUUAUUUUAGAAUUUUAUUUUUCACUUUUUUCUAUAUAAUAUAAAUGAGGAAUUCUCUAUUUUAUUAAAUAAAUUUUAAUUUAUUGAAUAACAUGAUAUCAGAAUCGUUACAGAUCUUUAUAAUCUUCGGUACGAUUGUUCAUAUACGACGACAAAGUACGUUGCAUAAUUAAUCUCUAUAAAACUACAUAAUCUUUUUAAUAAAAUAAUUAAUGUUCGAGCAACAUAUCUUUAAAUUUACUCAUUUUUUAUAUUAAAAAUUUUAAAAUAUUAUAGAUUACAAAAUAUGGAACAAAAUUUUUUUUUAUUUUUUGAGAGAUAGGUAGUACGCUAUCCGUUUCGUUUAUUUUAUUUAGAAAUAAACUUAACUGGAAAUGUGAAUUAAUAAAAGUUCGAACUUAGAUCUCGGAUACCAACCACUAAAUUUUUUGUCAGUUGCUGUAGGGACGGUCAGUAAUAUGGAACAAAAUUUAAUCUUUAGAUACUCAUGAUUUGAAUAUUGAGAGAGGGGGGGGGGGGNGACUACAGAAUGGUGCAGGCAAUGAUUUCUUUGUUUGACAGUCUUCCCUUGUUGGUGCAGAGAGAGAGAGAGAGAGAGGGGGGGGAGAGAAGGGAAGACAAUGCAGGGAAGUGUGGCAGAUCAGGUCUCUGUGCAGCUGAUGCAGAGAUCUCGAGGCAUGCUGUUUUACAUCUGUCGUGUACUGCUGUCAGUUUCUGCAGUAGGCCUGUGAAGUUUAUUUUGAAGCUGGAAGGGGAGGUAAAGGUAAAGAAAUUCAACUACUCCAUCAUCUUUUGUUUUGACUUGUUCUGAGCUGGGGACUUGGAGGAACUUUCACAUCACACUCACCUUGGGAGCUUAAACUGACCUCUAUUACUUUAUAGAUCCAAUUUAGUCCUAGCUUGUGAUCCUUUAUUUACUUUUUUUAGAAUUCAAUGUCUGGGAUUCAAUUUAAUCACAUUGUUUUUUAUCUUUAUUGCAGUUGUUGAUAAUUAAAAAAUGUAUGUACUUUAAUCAUAUUACUUAGCUAUUUAUUACCAUAAAAUUUUGUAUUGUAAAAGAUUAGAAUUUAUUGUAAACGGUAGUUAUUAAUUGCAACAGUAUUUAUUAUUGAAAAAAAGUUGAAUUUCUAGUAGUGUUAUGUUACAAUGAAACGUGAGAAAGUAAAUGAUUUGAUUUGGAGUUUUCUGUUUUGCUAUAAAAAAAAGGCAUUACGAAUAAUUUUAUACAGUGCUUUUAUUAAUAACACCCUUUAGAAAUAUAGUUUGUCAUAUGGUAUUAAAAUCGUACAGUAAUAUUAGACUAGCCAUUCAAACUUGUCUAAUCCUACAGUAGGAUUUAGUACUUAUUUAAUCUUUAAGGGUGUGUUUGGUUCGCACUAUGAAAGAUUACUAGCAAUAAAAAGAUGUUCGAGAAUUUUAUUCCUAUUAAUCCUAUUACUAAGAAUGUGACAUUCCUGUGUUUGGUUCGCACGGUUAUAUUAUUUAGUCAUGUUAUUUAAAUUUACAAAAAAUAUACAAUUAAUUUAUUUAUUUUCUUUAAUUAAUUUUAAAUAAUGCUACAAAAAAUUUCAACAUCUUUUUAAGAAAAAGGGAGAGAGAACAUAGGUUAGAGAGAGAGAGCAUAAUUAAAGAAAUAAGAAGAGAAAUAGAAUUGAGAUUAGAGAGAGUGAGAGAGUUGAGAUUUUAGAAAAAAAGGGGGGGAGAGAGCUUAGUUUAGAGAGAGAAAAAGAGUUGAAGUUUAGAGAGAAAAAAUAAGUUUAGAGAGAGAUAUGAGGUUAGAGUGUAAAGAAAAAUAAAACCAACUAGCCGGCGGAUAGGGAGAAAGAAAGAGAUUAGACAUAUUAUGAUUACCCCAAUUCAUUAAUAUGAGAAUACAGACCCUCCCUCAAGGGGAUGAGAUUAGUACUUUGGGAUGAAUCUCAUUCCCAAGUAAAUCUAAUAUUAACAACUAGAUUACUUAGUGCGUUUAGCCAAACACCGUCAUAUUUUUUUAUUUCUAUCGGAUUAAUAGGAAUCUUAAAAAGAUAGUGCAAACCAAACGCGCCCUAAAAGGUGAUGAAUAAACUAGUUAGCUAGACAGUUUAUGUUCAGCAUAAGCUAGCCCAUAUAUUUUUUAGGAUGUGAUAUAUUUAAUAAAAUUCGUUCAAUAGGUUAAUUAAUCUCGUUAGAUAUGAAGCUGUUAGUAUAUAUAUUUCGAUUAUUUAUUAAUACACUUAUUAAUUAUUUUAUGUCGAACUAUUUAUGUCUGAAAUUGUAGCGUAACUAAGAUUAAGCCUAGCUACAAAUCGAUUUUGUUAGUUUGCUGCGCUUCACCCCUCGUUGGGCACGAAAGAAGUUACGAUAUAUAUUUUUUGUAACAUAUAAUGUAUACUCUUCGUAAUUCAAAAUAAAGUCUAAAACUAAGAAUGCAUUUUGUGGAUCUACAGAACUAUAGAUUAAAAAGAAAAAAAAAAAAGAAGAAAGGGUAAAACCCGUGCAUGCAUGGAGCAUGGUGGUGUGCAUGCAUGCAUAGUCCUUUUAGCCUACACGUGAGACAAAGUUGGAAACCACUUCUCCUUGGUUUCGCCGAAAGGGCACGUACCCUCCCCUCCCCUCCCUCUCUCUUCACACACAUCUCCUUGGAGUAGCAAAAAAGAGAAGUUGAUGAACCUACAACAUGCAUGUUAAAGUUAGUUUUGUGUUAAGUGUUAAACACACACACACACUCUCUCUCUCUCUCUCAAACCCUAUUAUUAUAGGUAUAUAUAUAAUAAUGGAUAAUAUAGCUUUUAGAGAGAGAGAGAAAACAAAGAGAGAAGUUGCCCAAAAGUGAUAUAUAUGUAUACUUGGUGUGAGUUGUAGAUGUGUGUAAUACCCUCCAUUAAACCACCUUUAAUUAAUUUGCCCUUCUUUUUUUUUUCUUUCUUUUGUGUCCUGCUUUUGUCACCCAAGGACCUGUUGGUCAGCCUUGCACAUGCACAUUGUGACCAGCCUCUCCCCCUGAAUAAUAAAGUAAAAUAUAUUGUAGAAAAAGAAACAAUUUAAUCUCUCUCUCUCUCUCUCUCUCUCUCUCUCUCUCUCUCUCUCACACACACACAUACACACACACACACACACACAUGUAAUUAACAGGCCUCUUGAAGGAAAGUCCAAGGACCUAUCCUCUAUAAUUGCCCUUUGAGGGGCUCUUCCUUUGUGGGGUUUUUUUUUUGUUUUGUUUUUUUUUUUUUUUGUUUGUUUAAGUGUUUUUAGGGGUAAACCGUANUUUUUUUUUGUUUUUUUUUUUUUUUUUUUUGUUUGUUUAAGUGUUUUUAGGGGUAAACCGUAAUUUUCUGCAGGGACUCAAAAUAUUGCAUUUAAUUAUUCUGGAAUUUUAAUUUUAUUUUAUCAAAAAAAAUAUGCCGUUAAAUAAGAUAGUCAAGUUAAAUUUUUUGAAAACUCUAAAGUGCAUGAUGUUCUAUUUAACAAUUAAGUCAUUGCAGUAAAUUUAAAAUAAAAUUAUAGAAUACUUAAGUAUAACAUUUUAAAUCACGAGGACGAAAUACCUUGUGCGAUGAACUUGAACACUCUCGUGAUAAUCUGAUAGAUAAUCUGGCUGGAAAGAAAUAAUAUAAUUUUCAAAAAACAUAGCUCAGAACCUGUGGCAGUCAUCACGAAUAUCAAAUACCUUGUGUGAAACUAGAAAAUGUUUUGCGAUCACUGGACUUAACUUUUUCUUUCAUAUAAUUCCUUCCUUCUUUCUUUCUUUCUUUUUUUUUUUUGGCUCUUUUGGAGGCCUAGCUGUCUCACAUAUGUAGCUAAAUUCAUUUUUAUCAUAAAAUGAAGUGAGUAGUGUGCUACAUUAUUCUAAAAAGAAAAAAAUUAAAUCACAUAAUGGUAAAAUAAAAAUACACUAAAUUAUCUACUUAAUUAGGGUGGCAAAGUAAAAUUACCUAAACCCUACAGUGGCAUAAAUUAAAAUUUACUUUUUUAAAAAUUAAUGAAAAGGAGAACUCUCCACACAUUUUUACUUUGGUUGCGAUUCUAAGUAAUUGAAUCCGGCCAAAAAGAAAAUAACAAAAUAACAAGUUAUUUUCUAAAUAAUUUAUUUUAAUCGUACAUCUCACUUUAAAUUAAAUAUCUAACUAACGGGAUUGAAAUUAUAGAUCAGUUAAUUUGUUAUAUGGGUAAUGAUUAAAUGAAAAUGUGAAAUGUACGAUCAAAGUUAAUUUUAAAAAAAAAAACGAAAAAACUAUACUAAAGUUUGUAGUAAGUGGGUCCAUAAUCAACAUUGACUUUGUGGUCCAAAUCUUUAUGCUCUUCAAAUCAUAAACGGCCUAAAAAGCCCAACUAGCCCGUUAUGAUUAAUAUCAUGGGCCAAAUAUGGCCCAAGUUGGCCAACAUAUUCAAAUUUAAAUUGAAUUAAUUAAUGGUUUUAAAAUUUCUAAUCAAAAGUAAAUUGUAAUUAAUAGUUUUAAUGGAAAAAUUCAAAUAGCACCCCUGUGAUUUCACACUUUCUCACUUUAGUACUUUAUGAUUUAAAGUGUAUCAAUUUAGUAUUCUGUGGUUUCAUUUUUAUCUUUGUAUUAUCGAUCCCACAAAUUUUUUUCGUUAAAUCAGUGAUAAAGUUAAAAGUAAACGGUACUAAAAUAAAUAUUCGAUAAAUCUAGCUGGGUAUCUGAAGUUUUUGUAUAUAAUUUAACGAAAUAUUAACAAAAAAACAGAUGAAAAGAUAAAAAUAAAACUAUAAGACACUAACUUGAUACACUUUAAACCAUAUGAUACUAAAGUGAGAAAGUGUGAAAUUACGGGGAUGAUAUUUGAAAUUUACCCUUAUUUUAAUGAUGAGAAACAAAAAGUAAUUAUG